rnacentral:lncRNA from 1 species
AAAAAAUGUGAGUGAAAGAUCCCACUGAAUCGAAUUUGAUCCAUGAAUCUAAGAAAUAGUGAGAAUUCUUGCCACAAAUGACCCACAAAAAAGAAGAAUCCUAGAACAAAAUGAGAAGUAGCUAACCAACUUCUAGGAGAUACAUAAUUGACUGCAUUGAUCUCAGUAGCUACGCCACCCACGGAAUUUGGUCAUAGAAUGGGAGUAAGGAUGAGAAAACAAAAUUGGUCGAUGUUCUUCAUCAACUCUAGCCUCUAAAGUAUUAAGUUGCAAGAUUAAUUUACUAAAUAAAUUUAUAUGCUCCAAAGGAUUUAUACCAUUAUACAUGCACAAGCUAGAUAAAUCCCUUUUUGAAAUAUAACUUGUUUAUGACAGAUUUUGAAUAGUCCUGAACGCCUUGAAGUGAAAUCCUCCCAUUCUUUGUUAGUUAGAGUGCCUACUUUACUUUUAACCAGAAAAGCUUUAGAAAGCUCCUAUUUGACCGAUAAAGCCUUCACCCUCUUGUACCAUAAGCCGAAGUCAGACUUGCAACCAAAGUUUUUAACUUCAAAGUGUGAAGUCUACAUCACUGGAGGAAAAUUGAAUAAAAGAAGAUGGACUUAUCUAAGGCGCUAUACGAAUCUUAGUGGAAGUCAAAAUAAUCCUUGAUACAAAUAACUUUAACCUAUAAAAGAAAAUUUACGUCAUAUACAACUAUAGACCAGCCAAACACUGUGAAUCAUCUGGUAUGAUAAAUCUAGGCCCUUGUAACUGCAUUUGUUAUGUCGCCUUGCCUUCUCGCACUUUUGAGAAUGUACUUCAACCUCAAAAGAGGAAAUGUUCUAGAGCCUCUCAACUUUCCAUGAAGAGUGACUUCUUUAGUGAGAUACACCACGUUGGGCUAUGCCUAUUGCUUGUGAAGGAUAGGGAUGAUCAAUUCCAAAGACGCUUGAUGGAGAGGAAAGUUGCAUCUAAUCAUUGUUUCUGACAGAAACGUUUGGUUAAGACUCGUGCUAAAUCUUUUUCGACGAAAAGGGUUUGUGAUGGGAGGUGAUGGUAGAAGACAAUGCGCACUACUUAGCAUGUUAUUUCUUUCUUGGCAUGGAGCAAACAAGUUCAUUGGCAUUGGAGGAACUAGUCCUAUAUUAAAAAAUUCAUGCUUACUAUCAUAUUUACAAAUUUAGGAUUUUUCCUACCCUCUUUUAACCACAACUUUCUAACUCAUGUAGUAUGACAGCUUAUGGGGCCGCCCAUUCAAGCCCGUUUGUGAAACUGACUGCAGCUAACGACUGGAAUACACGGAAGACAAUGAAACUUGCCAUUAUAUUCAAUUGACCGUGAAACAAUGCAGGUUAUUAUUUUUUUCAUAUUUUUUAUAAUAUCUAUAGAAAAGUAUGGAGAAUAAAUAAGCAACUAUUGUCGAUGCGGGUGCCCAACCUGUAUUAAAUGCGAUAGGACUGCUGAGAAGCCAGUUUCGUAUUAGCCUAUACAAAGACUUGAGAAAGGCAGCAACUGAGUACUCAUCUGAGAGUUCGUGAUUAAAUAGUGAGUAACAGAAAUAUGCACGUUCCGAUCAGGUAAACAAGAAGUACGCCCACAUUGGGGGUCUAAAAGAGUAUUCUUGAUUGGAUUCCUGUUUGGCGGAAGGGUAGGAUCUGGUAGACAUCCGCGUUGCCCACUUUGAACUCAAUUCUAGCCCGAAACUCUUGUGUAGUUGUCGAUCGGAAGUCCAUUCUCCGGGACUAGCGUAAGUAAGGGCUACCGAGAUGUGAAAUGCGAUCAGUGGAUUUCCUCUAACCGCGGAGUGAGAGAUAACGUAUGCCGCACUGAAAUUUUUUUUCACGCUUAGAAAUUCUUUAUCCGCGUUAUAAUAUCAUAAAUUUUGCCCUGCUUCUUCCCCUUUCAUUGGGCGCAGGGUUUACUCCCUUUUUCUCCCUGUAUGUUGGUAUGAACAUAUUUAUCUUCAAAUCUGUAUCUUUAUCUAUAUAUUCUUCAAUCUGUAAAACACUUUCUAUGACAAUAAAUAUAUCUCCGUAUCCCACGAUUGGUAUUUCCGCUCAAUAUAUACCCUUCCAUCUGAAUAGUAAAAAAAAUCAUGUGUACAAAUCCUAGUGAACCACCAUAUUGGACGUACAGUAUAAUCCUUUUAUCUGCAGUCAAAGCGUAAUCAACUUAAAGUUCAAGCAAGAGUCAAAGCUUUGGGAGAAAGAUGAUGCAAAGAUGGGAUCUCAGCAGUACGUUAGUAAGAGAACGAGUUCGUUUGCACAUGUCGAAAGUUAAGACAAGAUACUCUCACUCACUCUCAAGGAAACCGUUAAGACACCUUGGGCAUAUAAUCAUGGACAUCUAUAUGAUAUCUGGGUCAUUUGGUAUUUUGCUUUAGCAGAACCAAUGUGAGAAGUAAUUUAGACAGAUAAUAAUACAAAGUAUGCUUAGUGUGAGGAGGUAGACUGCCGACAGUCAUAUGAGAUGAGACUACUGAAUGAUGGGUUCUCACACUCUUCGUUUUGGCAUAUUGGAGUAAAUGCUCAGAAGGAAAGCUAAGAUUAAACAAUCCACAGUAAAGGCAACACAAGAAUUUAUCAUGGUUUGGAGGUUUGGCCUCCUACAUCUAUAGGUGACGAUCAUGGAAGCUUCAUUAGAUGUGGAGAUGUUUAUAGAGAAACUCUCAAGAAGAACACGAGUAAGAAGUCCUCACUCUUGUCCCUCAAGACUCUCAUCAAGAACCCUUAGAUAUCUAAUUAGAAUAUCUCAUACUCUCAACUUGGUUCUCCAAGAGGAGGAGAGGGCCCUCUAUUUCUAGAGACAUCUUAGGACCUCAUAGUUUCUUUUUGGCUAUUACUCUUGGAUUGUGUCCAUACUAUCUACAAAUGUGAGCCAUUAAUGUGAGAAACGCUCAGCCUAUAAAAGGGCGUUUCCAUGGUCAAUCUAUCCAAUUCAGAAGUAAACUAUUUCCCUAGGAAAUGAUCCACCCAUUUAUUGGGCUGUUUCCAUCUAUGAGAAUUCGUCAAUGAAGGUUCAAUUUCUCUCUCUCUCUCUCAAAUGAUUCUCUUUCUCUUCAUUCAAUUCAUCAUCGUUUAACAAUUCUUCGUUUGGUUUGCCUUUUCAAGUUACAUCGUGUUAAACUUUACCAUGAUCAUCAUAACCAACAUUUCGCUAUUAGUGCACUCCUCAUAUACUUUGUAACUUAGGUAAAAACGAUACCUAAACUUAUGAGUAAUCUUCAUCAACGUAUGUGCAGGAUUCCUAUCUUGUGUUGGAGACCAACCGACAAUGGCUUUAUGCCAAAAUCUUCUUAGUAUCCUCUAGGCUUCUAAGCUCUCUUUUAUGGGGGAUCCACUUUUCGUCCAUCAGCUCGAACAAAACCUCAAUUCCUACCCAUGCUUGGCUCAAAAAUUAGACUUUUGCCCAAAUCCAUAAAAUGUAUGAGGUCUUGUUUAGAUUAAUAUCAUCAGAUAGUGGGACUAGAAGACCAAACAGGCUUCAUAGAGAGUAGGAUGUCACAUUUAGGUUCUGGUUUUCGGUUGGAGCGAUCUAAAAGGGUGGGUCUGUCAACUUGGUUAUUCUUUAUGAUGAUAGAGGCAGAGAAGAUGAUGGCUGCAGGUAUGAUUUUCGAAGAUGAAGAACUAGUCUAGUAUAAGUGGACUACUACCAGGAAACAAUUCAUCGACUAGAGAUAUUUAAAGCAAUAAUUAAUGGAACAUUUUAGAUAAUACCAAGUAGGAAGCUUGUGGAAGCACUUACUCAAUAUAAAAAAAUAGGUGAAUCAAUCUUCAUCUAUAGCCAUAUAGUUGAAACAUAAGUUCUUGGUGACCUUUUGAGCCAUAUAAUAAUUUUUUUAAAUACGUACCACACCAUUCCUGACCAUUGACAUAUCCAAGGGAAACAUUUAUACGUAUUAUUUUCAUUGAAUUAUUUGAUACCCUGUUCAUAGUUUAGUGCUGAAGACUUUACAUUUAUAAUCAAAUUCAAUUUUCCAACAUUGGUACAUGUUUUCUAUAAUCUAUACCACAGGUUUGAGUUUAUCUUUCAAUUUCAAAUCAAGCCUUAUAUCUUUUAGUUGUUCCAUUAACUUAUGAUGUACCAUCUAUUUUCUUGUGACAACUUGACUAUUUACUGUGUAUUAUUCUUCUCUAAUACUUUCUUUUGUUCAUUCAUAGCUUGUUUCCAUUCCUCACGAUCUAAUAUGCCAAUGAUAUAUUAGACCACAUUGAUGCAGAAAUAAUGGACAUAAAUAAUGUUCUAUAUAAGGGUAGUAGAUGACGAUAUGGAGCUAUAAGAUAUUAUCUUUCCUUAAGAAUGAUGGGUAGUUCUUCAUUUAUUUCCUUUAGUAUAGAAGGAUCAGUAGAAGAGGGUAGGUUCUGUCGACCAUCAUUAAUACUCUGAUUGGUUUCCAAGAAUGAAUUAGGCUGUUAUAGUUCUAAGAAAUCUUGAGGUUGGGUGUCUAAGGAUGUCAAUAUCUUGAUGAUGUAAAUAUUACUAAAAAUUUAGUAAAUAUCACAUAGUUUCAUUCUCCCUUUUCUAUAUCUUUAUUGAUUUACUCAUUUUUCCAAUUAUGAGGGUUAUUUUUUCAAAGUGAGGUUUAAGUUCGUUAAAGGUAACAUCAAUUAAAAUAAAAUUAUCUUUGAUGGGGUUGAUAAUAACUUUUCUUCAUUUAGUGUUAAAUAAAAAUACAUUUUAAAAUGUGUGGAUGAAGUUUUCCUUUCCUUUGAUCCUAGUUGUGAACAUAAUGUAUAUUCCCAAGUGUAAUAAGUACUAGGUUCUUCUUAAGUUGGAUAUUUAUAUAAUGAUAAGACAAAGUCUUUAAUAGGCAUUUCAAUCCUAAAACUCAAGUUAGCAAUUGAUUAAUGAGGUGUAUGACAGUUUUGGUAGUCUCACCCCAAAAAAUUUUGGGUACUAACUUUGGAAUAGAUGCGCCCUUGUCAAUUCUAGUAUGUACUCAUUUUUCCUUCUGUUACUCUAUUUUAUUAUACAGUGUUGACACAUGAAGAUUCAUAUGUUAUGACCUCCUUCUGAAUUAAGAAAGCCACUCGCAUUAUUCAAUAAAUUUAUUUUAAUCAAAUUUCUAUAUAUUUUUUUAUGAAUAUAAAAAUUAUCAGAGAACUUCAUUCACUUGGCUUAUGAUUCAACCAAAAUAGGGAAUGUGGUAGGUGAAUAAUCAUGAAUAAAAAUAAAGAAUCAUCCUUUUCACAAGAUAUUGAAAGUAGAUAUGGUCCCCAAAUAUUGCUAUGAAGUAAAGAGAAAAGAGUAGUACCCCUUUCAUUACUCUAUGAAAUAGAGACACUAUUAUACUUCGUAAUCUCACAAAUGUCACAUAUUAGGUUUUUAAUUUUUUUAAUUAGAUACAUUAUUUUUUGAAGCUCUGAAAGAUGGAUGACCAAGAUGAUGAUGAUAAGAUUACAACUAUCAAAUUUUGUUGAGAUAAAAGUUCCAAGUCUCAGUUAGCCAUACAAUUCUUUGGUGAAGCUUUGGUUUAAAACAUCAAGAUAAUAGAGCCUUUCUCAGCAUAUCUAUUUUUUUUGUUUAUCACCUUAUUAGAUACACUAAAAAGAUUACUAUCAAUAACUACUCUAAAAUUUGGGUUGGUAAUCGAGAUUUUGACAAAAAUUAAUUUAUAUAAAAGUAAAGGAUAUAUAAGAAAAUUUUAACUAUGCCAAUGGACUUGAUUUUUAGUGAUCCAUUAGUUGUAGCUAGUUUCUUGCUAACAACACAGAUUAUAUGUUAAGAAAUUAUUUGAGUUAUUAGUCUUUUGAUUAUUGGCUCAUGUGUCUAAUAUCAAGGAUAUUAAAAAAAAUUAGAUUUUAAUUGAAAUAAUAAAUAAUCAAGAAUUUAUUGGCUUGAGGAGCAUAUUGCCGUUAUAAAUUUCAACUUUUCAAUUUGAAUUAUAAUGCUAUCCAUCUCUCUAAACUUACAACUACCUUUAAAGGAUAUGAAGCGAUCAAAUGAGAUUGGCCACCCAACUAAGGUUUCAUGUUCAAUAUACAACAUUGAUCAUGGGUGUGUCUUUACUACUUACAAUAAGUGCAUCAUAGGUUAUCCUUGUAAUUAUUUUUCUUCAUUCCUUAGCCUUAUUAUUGUGAUGUUCAUCCCUCUUUCUUAUAUUUCACAAGAAAUAUUGAAUUAUUAGUAUUUGAGGUUCUACUAGAAGGCUCCUUGUACUAUGUUCAUUUUUAUAUAUUGUAGUUACCUCUACAAGAUCUAGUUCUUCUUUUCCCUAAAUUUGGAUGAGGACAUGGUCAUACUCACAACAAAGAUCAAGUAAGAAUCUAUAAACUUUAUCUUUUUUUUAAAUUUAUAGAAAAAUAUAUUAAAUCAUCUAUAUUAUUGGUAGUAGUUGAUUGAUAUUUAUAAAUCACCUACCCCCAAAGACUUUGAUUCAUUAGUGUAUUCAUUGAGGGACUUACUCUAUUUUUUUAAAGUCAUUGUCAUAGCCAUGACUUAGUAAAUCUAAAAACUAUCAUGGUUCUUUCCAAAUAUCUUUUAUUUUAGUAGAAAUAAAUAUUUUGUAUUGAACUUACGUGUAAUGGUACUCCAAAGACAAUUUUCCAUAAUUUCAUCCUCUUCCUUCCAUACUUGGAAUUAUGUAUCCAUUGAUUCAAGUGCCAAUUCUAAAGAUGGUUAAGUUUCCCCAUUUUUAUCUAUAACACUUUAAUGAAUUUUCUCCAUUGGAGGAGAUUCCUACAGCUAACGUGAGUUCAUUUGGAAUAAAAUAUAGAUCAAAAUGUAAUUUAGAGAAUUAUGAUGUCUAUGAUGAAAGGAUGUCAUAUCAAUAACUUUUGAUGUAAAAUUAAUCAUUCCUCAAACACCUAAUAUUAUGAAUUUUCCUUCUAUACAGAAUUGAGAGGUUAACUCGAGGAUCAGACUAAAAAGAGAAAUUUUCCUGUUCUCUCAUCUCCAAGCAUGAGAGAGGCAAAGCAAGUAACUAGAUAGCCAAAGCCAUAGUUAAAUCAACAACAAAGUAAGCAUGAGGUAAAUCUCUUGUAUGAAAUCCCUUUGAAAAGGUGGACUAUGAUCUUUGGUAGAAACAACAUUCAUAAGCAUAUGAUAGCUAAAAAGAGGUUCACUUUGGGUGAAUGCUGGAGAAAUCAUAACACAAUCCUUUUGCUUGCAUCCGCUUUAUCGAAGGGGGUGAGAUGAUGGCUGGCAAUGUGUGCACAUAUUCAUUUUAUUGUAGAUUAAAAAAUUUAUUUUACUGUAGAAAACAGGUGCACAUAUUCAUUGAUGACCCAAAUAAUUGGGUGACAUGUGACUUAAUAGGCUUUAGUUUUCAUCAAACUUGAUUUGGUACUACAAAAAAAGAAAUGGGUUAAUAAUAAAUAGCUAAAAUGACAAGCUAUGAUUUUCAUGAAUCUUAUAUGGCCAGUAAGAUGCUUAUAUAUGUAUGAUGAAGAAAUCGUGAAAAGGGCCAAGUUGGUGUGACUUAUUUACCAAAAUUCUUUAUUCACAAAUGUUUAGUGUUUGAUUUUUAUAUGCAAAUCAAGAUAAAAACCAUCUAUUGUGUCAUGAAUUUAGUGAACAAAACUUAGGAUUGAUGGAAAUGUUUUUCAAAUGUUUUAAUAUUUUUGGUGAAUUUUGUUAAUUUUUAAGCAACUAUUUCAAGUUAAAAUAUAUUAUCUAUUAUUAUGUGAAAUGAAUAAAUAAAUAAAUAAAUAAAUAAAUAAAUAAAAUAGUAAAAAGUUUAAUUGAGCUCACCACUUUAUGGGGCAUCAACCAUAUUCCUAAUUGGGCUAUAUUGGACUCACCACUAUGGGUUGGGGCAACAAAGACCAGUCUUUGUACACUAAUUUUUGUGUGAAGACUUCAUCUCCCACUUGUGACUAGGCCAAUAUGGGACCAUCUACAAGGCCCAUUAAGAGUUUGAGACAUCCUUUGGGAGCCAAUGAUGAAAUUGAGGUGACUUAUUUAUGAGAUGGUAUUCAACUAUGAGGACUUGACCUAAUUAUAUACAUAAAAUUUCUACUAGAACAACCAAUGUGGGACUAAUCAGUUUUCUCACUAUUUCAAAUCCAAAAGUAGUAGCAGUUUGAUCCAAUGACUUCUAAAACAGCAUGUUAACUUAUUUUUAUGAUGAAAUCUUACAACCCAUAACACAUAGAUCUAACAUAGAUUGAAGUGUGAUGCACUUAAUCAAUAGACACAUCUUCCAAAGCACAAAUCCCACAAUAAAGGUUAUUAGAUCAGAAGACACAAGAUGAGUCACCAGAUAUCAUCACACAAUAGUAAAGCUUGAAUCAUAAGAAAGCACUCAUGACAUUUAUUUGGUCGUCUUUUUGUAUGAUGUACAAAGGGCCAUGUCACUUGAAACCUUCUUGCAUGCCAAUAGACAAAUUAGAUGGUUCUCAACAUGCCUCACAUAAAGGGAUACAAACACAAUAAUCACUUAUCAUCUAGUAAAUAAAUAUUUUCUAUUAUUUAUGCCAAAUGUUGGGAUAUGUAAAAAUGAGAAAAUUAAUGAUAUUCUCCCAUAUUUGCACGGUUAAUGAUUUUUUUGGAAAUAUAUGAGGAAGGAAAAAGGCUUGUUUUUUGGAUCUAGAGGAUAAAAACGUCAAGAAGAGAGAGAAAAUGGGGAGGCUUGAUAGGAGAGAGAAGGAGGGCAUGAGGAUGGAGGACGAGUAUAAAGUAGAGAGAUUUUUUUCUAGUUUUUUAUGUUUAACUUAUCUUUUUAGUGAUAUUUUAUAUUAGUUUAUCCUCUUUUAUAUUCAUUGAGUGAAAAACUUUGAAGAAAAAACAUUUUUUUUCUGAAUUUUAUUCAAUUAAAGCAUUUUUCUUAAUGUUCUUGUGUUAUAGAGUGACAAUUAGUUAAAAUUUUAUUUAAAAAUUUUUAAGUUAUUUUUUCUCAUUCAUGAAUACAAAAAGGAAGGGAAAAAAUUUUGAUUAAAUUUUUUAAAUUUUAAUCUAAAUUUAAUAUUUUAAUUUAUGAAUUUUUAAGGCCUUUUCUGCUUGGCAAAUAGCCAAGUACUAUUUUCAUGUUUAAUUCAUUUUUUAUUUUUUGAAUUUUAUUUAUUAAUAUUUUUUGUGACCAUUUCAUUUCAAAAUUCCCAAAAUAUCAAAAAUCAUUGAAAAUUUUCAUUCUCAUCUUUUUCCAUCUUAUUUUCUCAUCUAUUUUUCAUCUAAUUCACAGUCAAAACAUCUCAAUCCAAAAAUCUUAUUUUGUUUAGUCUGAAGAGAUUAAGAAAAUUAAAAUCACGAAAUGUAUUCAUAAAGAAGGCUGAUAAACAUAGAAAAGAGAUUUUGUCAUUUAUCUCGUCUUAUAUUCUUUUUUUAUUUUCUUGCAGAUAAAAUUUUUUGUUAGAAAAUUAUAAUUCAUCAAAUUUAUUUUUUUUCAUGAAUAAGGAUUGACUUGACUCAUCAUAAUAUGAAAGAAAAUCAUUAAAAUUUAAAUUUUAGUAUUAUUAAUUCUAUAUUUAAAACACAAUGACUAUUGUAUCAACAAAAUGCUAAUCAUCAUGAUGCAAAACUGUGCAUAGGUAGGAGUGUAGUAAAACAACAUGGAUAUGCCAUUUCAUCCAGAAAACAUUUUUAAGUUAUAAGUUUUGCCUAUAGAUAGACUUGUCUAUGCACUCGGCAUAAGAGUUUUUCCUCGUACAGAUCCCAUGUCAAAGAUAAUCUAUGAGAUGAUGAGAGAAGGCUGUCUCAAUGAGAUAAGCAUUUACAAAAAAUGCUUCACAAGAAUUCAUCAUGUACUCUGUUGUUUAAAUCUCAAUCCAUCAAUGACAAGCUGUCUCAUCCUAAGAAAUCAGUCACAUCAAGGUUGUGGUUGAUGCCAUGACUCCAAACAAACCUUAAGGUCAUCUUGUAUCAUGAAAGAAGACCCGCAGUGGUAUCCUUACAUUCUGUCAGCAAAAGUUGAUAUGAUGUUUCAUUUCUGUGAGUGUGAUCUAUUAUAGCGAAAGACUGAGCAUUUUAGAGUUUUGAAUCAAGAAAGAGGAUUAGAGUGAAUCUUUAAAGAAUUUGAAUCUAUUAAUUAACUGUUCUUCUCAAAUAAAAAUUAAGUGGUAGUGGAAUCCAAGAGCAAGUUUUUCUCGAAAAGUGGAUGUAGACAGCGUGCCAAACCACUAUAAAAGGUUCGGAUUUAAAAAUUGAACAAAAAUACAUAAUUGUAAAGUUAGAUUGGAACUCUAAGGGAGAUGAAAAGUAUAGAGAAUAAGAUCAAUUCAACCCUUUCUGCCGUCCCUCCUUUCUUAAUCUAGUGUGAGUCAAAAACAAACAAUAGACACAUAAGUGUAAAGCUUGGUCUUGAUGUGAACAACAUCAUAAAAUGCUUUUGAGUAAGAAGAUUUGACAACGAUUAAAAGAAGUCAACAAAUCAAAGUAAUGAGCUAAGAUUAGUAAGUUAAGGUGAAAAAAUGUGAUACUACACUUCUCAUACUAGUAAUGAGCUGAACAACAUCUUGCUCUGCCCGCCGCAACUAUGUGGUCUACAUUAACCUGAUAUUCAAAACAGACAACUUCCACCUAACUCCAUCUCGACAUCGGAUGGGUUGACAGCAUAAAACCCUUUGGUAGAGACAAACCUCCAACCGUAAACAGCCACCGAUAAUCUCCUUAUAACUAAUGACGAAUACGAUCUCAAGAAGUUUCCCGAUAGAUAUAGUUUGUUAUUACUGUCAGACACUUCAGUUGCCAAACAACAUUUACCUAGUACCCAUGUAAACCUCAUCUGGCCUUUCCCUCCGUGGCUAUGGUAUACCUGUCGUUCGAUCUGUGGAAGAUGAACUAUCGUGAAAUAAUAGAAGGCUUCCUUCCUCAUUUAUUCAAGUAUAUUUCUGCAGGUUAAACAGCCUAUGGAGACCAGUGACUAGCUCCAAGUAAAAAGACCGCUUAUCCCAUUUAAUCCGGGCAACUGCUCCUCCAGCGCCACAAGCUUUUUAUUUAUUUUGUAUACUGUCCUCCACAUAACUCGUAGAAGCGCUUGUUCAGCAGAUCAUAUUGAUGUUCUUGAUGCUGUUGAGUUUGCAUCAUGGAAUUUCCUUGUAGAGGGAGAUGGAAGAGUCAUCGCAGUGGGAGCCCUUGUACAGCGUGACGGCCUGGGCCCUUAGUAAGCACGAAGCAGUACCCUCCCUGGUACCCGCCGUUGUCGAAGCACCCUCAGCCGUUGACGUCUUUUGUUCUCCCGGCACACCUUGGGCGAGUGAACGCCGUCAGGGUACUGGCCAACGCUGGCACAACGGCGGCAGCGGCUACGAGAAGCAAGAAACUUGCAGCUGCCGCGCACUUGCUGGUAACCAUAUCUCAUGAAGGAGGAGAGUAGGAAGUCUCUGGCUCCGGAAUUGGCAAAAGUCCAGGUUGAAUGGUGAAGAGGGCCUUACCCUCCUGUCCGUCGCGUCUUUAGCCAAAGAAAGGGGCAUGACCACGCCUGGGAUAUAUUAAACAACAACAGGACUCCUCUAAGGUACUUGGGUUGGUGAUCCCGUCAGCAAACCGAGAUUCUAAUGUAGGGUUGGUUAUGGCGUUUGAUCGUUGUUCCCUGCGGUGAAUUUCUGUCGACAUGUUUUCUGGGAUCUACGAAAAACGUGAUGGGCAUUGGUUAUUUUCAUUUGAGGGCUUCUUGAACUCGUCAAUAUAUCGUGGUCUGCUCAAACUUCAGACAGGGUUGGUGGCGCAUAGCUUCUUUGGUCCUUAUUCCCAUUAUCGUCCGGCGACACAUGAUCCAUACAGCUUUCAUUUUAAGGUUACAGCAAAUGACUCUGUCCCUCCGACAUAGUGUCCGUAGAAUUGAAUUAUACUUGUGACUAAGUGUGAGUUUUGAGUUGGUGGCGUCUUGUAACAGAGCACGUCGUAGACGACAAUUAUUUACGAUGGUCAUUCUGUAAGCCCUAUUCAAGACCUCGUCGAAGCGAUUAUAAUUGAUUCCUUGGAGCUCCGCUCUGGAUAAGAUUGAUGAAGGAGAAACAGUUUUGGAGUUAUAGAUGGCAAGCUUCAUUAAAGACCGUUCAAUUUCAUAAAUUUUUUCAACAUGUCAUCGGAAAACUCUAACAAAUAUGCACCACGAAAUUUCGUGUGCGCCUUUUCUUUGAAUUAUGUUCGUACGAACGUGACGGAGGUAGGUUAGAGUCACUUUGGGGCCUGUUGAACUUGUCGCCAUACUGGAUUUUUAUUGACCUUUACCUCGUUAACGAUGACCCCAAAUCAUGGUGUUUACCACAGAGGAUACAAAUAAGGUUUGCACCACACCUUAUCCAUCUGGACGUUGCUUUCCAGCUUCCCCCAACGACACCUUAUCCAUCUGGACGUUGCUUUCCAGCUUCCCCCAACGACACCUUAUCCGAUCCGCUUUCAUUUUAAAGUGACAUAUAAGUUGCCAUGUCUGACCAAAUGUGAGGGGGGAGUAGGUAGCGUGUCUUUUUUUAACCGAGCAGUUCGGCAACCACAACUUGUUCACAUUGGUCCCUCUCUGUGCAAAGGUCAUAACAUUUCUUUGCGACAUUGGUUAGGUAGACGUUCCUGUAAUUUUCUGGAGAACAAUCUCCCCGUGAAAGCGAAAAUCACCGUAGAUUGACUUGGCUCUAACUUACCAUCAACCCUUAGGUUGGUGGACCGUGUCAUUGUCUGAAAUGAUACAUAAUAACGGAAGACUUGUAAGAUGCUUCAUGAAUUUUAACAAUAAGGGCAAAUAUUUUUUUGCGGCUUCUGGAUUAGCGUACGGAGACGGCCAUUUGGUCCGCGAGUGAGAGCUCCGACGUCACUUUAUCCAUUUAGCUUUCAUUUUAAAGUUUACGUGUACGACGGGAUGUGAGGCGGGAGUAGGCAGAGGUUUUCUUAACAUUGCACGUCGGCAAAUGCAACCGAUUGACAUCGGUCACUCCCGGCGAAAAGGUCGUAAAAUUUAUUUCAAAGAUUGCGACGAAGCGAGGCUAAUCGAUCCCGAGAGAGUAUCGAGUGAUUUACUUGAAGCAGCGAGUGAACCAGUGGGCCGGGACUUUUUAAGGCCGCGAGCCGUAUCACAAGCGCUCACUUGUGUGGUUGUCACCGUAAUUUUCUGGGUGUCAAUCACUCUGUUAACGGGAAAAUAACCCGUACAUUGAUUUGGUCCAAACUUACCAUCACUCCUCUUUUGAUGGGCCGCCAUACAUUCGGGUGGGUGAGUGUAAGAGCAUCGGGGAUGGAAAUGGGGUCGAAGUAAGCAAUGCGGAGGUCUACACGCAAUUUAUUAAUUUGUAACAAGUACUUUAUUCUGCAGAUUUAAUAAAUGCAGUUAAUAGCCCGUAUCAUUGGUUGGCAUGAUACAUAUUUGCAGAGGAACUCUAAGGUGUUUCAUGAGCUUUAACUGGGAGGAGAAAAGAGUACUAAACUGAUGGCCGAGAAGAUGGAAUAAUUUGUUCCUGCUUCUAAAUGCGUGCACGGCGAUGGCCAUUUGGUCCGCGGGAACGGUUCCCGGAAUGUGCCUCGACGUUGUUCCGACGAACUUCAUUUCGAUCGAUAUCUCAGUUUUCUAAUCGAAGUGAUCGCGUACUGAGAUGAUGGUUCCGGCUGACCGGUGCGGAGAUCCCUGACCUCCUCUCCACCUGAGUUUUAGGAAUAGCAUGGAGCAAACCCGCACGGGGUGAUCGAGUAAAACUUGACACGCCUAUCCUGGGUUUAAACUUUAGACUUGCUGACAAGCGGUGCGUCGUCUACCUCCAGGGCGUCGUCCUGUUGAACUCGUGUCGAUUCGGACAGCUCUGAUGACAGCAUCACGCACAGGUCCAGGAUCGGGUAUACACACGGCCUCGAGAAGUAAAGAUGGUUUCAUCAUCAACGGUUGCAGGCUUCUCCACACGGUCAACUUUAGUGACGUACGGAAUAUCAUGCCGUUGACUUUCAUGGAACGCUCCGCCAUGGCUCCGUCCCAUUUUUAUAUGGAACGAGAUCUUUUUGCUGUACUCUCGUUGGUUUUGACCUGUCUCUUGUCCCAUGGCGAACUUUCCUUCUGAAGUUUUACAGAAGAAAAUGAUACCGCCUGAACGCUAUAUCUGUUUACAGCGGGAGGUGAUAGAACAGAGAUUGAAGGUCAGUUAACCCGAUGCCAUAAGCUUUUCACUAACCAGCGCGAAGUUCAUGGUGUAAAGGGAACGAAAUUGUUUUCUGGAAGAGGACGAAAUAAGAGACCCGGUAAGUAAGAGACGUGACGGUUGAUACCUUAGAAGGGCUGAUUUUUGAACAGUCUUCAUGCUUUCCGGUUAGCCGUGCCAAACCUGUGUAACGCAGUCGAUAUGAAAUAAGUUGGGGUAGUGAUAUCCAACCUCCUAGAGAACAUAUAAAAUCCGCAGAACCCGCGAGAGAGAAACUCAAGUGAAACUCAAGUAAUCAUCGUGGCCCGUCUGACUACCUCGGUAAAGGUCCUUCAGGUAACAGUUAAAUAGUUAGGUUCAAAGAAUAAUGCUUUUGCAGGCCAAACAUGGUUAGGAAGUGAUUACUUAUUUCCGUGACCUUUGAGAGGUGGAUGUCGGAACAUGGUUAGGAUGUGGGACACUUGUCAGAGCCUGCCCUCAUGAAGAUGGGCGAUUCAUUCUUGAAAAUUCUAUCGUUAACAAAUUGUACCCGGGCGCACCUACAAGCGGUAUCACACCGGGUCAUGGUCAGUCUCAAGAAUCGGUCUGCUUUAAGCUGCGGGCGUUACUAUAGCAACGGUUGGCAAUUAACUUGGACGGAGGGAUUACUGCUUCCCAUCCAUCCACUAGCACCAUUUCUGGCUGCAAUGUUCCAGUAGACCGUCGGACAGUCUGUAUGCUGCGGCCCCCAACUUUAUUAAAACGAGUUCCUCACUCUUGAAAUCGUUUAAAAUCUUACAAUCUGGGGCACUCGAUCCCCAAAAAUCGUAGAAGCUUAUCAGAAGCGCAAUAAAUCUCCUGGUUUGACUCUAAUGUUUAACGGUAACGAAUCCUGAUAUGGCCCUCCGGGUGCAUACUAAUGCUAGCGGGCCUUAUUUAUGAAGAAAUCAUGAAAGGGAAAAGGUGGUGUGCCUUAUUUACUGAAAUUCUUUCUUAACAUAAAUAACUGGUCUGAGGCCGCCUGCUGCGGGGAUUAGAGACUUUUUCAUAUUCUUUGGAUAUGACAGCUUACCUGCCGGCCUGCUGCGACUCUUUAUUUCAAAUAAUCUCUAUGUUUUCCAACCACGUCAUCACAUGCGGGGCUGAAUCGGGGGCAUUACUAGUUUCAUUCGUCAUAGGGCUUAAGACUACGUCAUUAUAAUUGUUUGUCCUAUGUUUUUUAUAAUCUUUGGAUAUGACACCUCAUUGAGAGGCGCUAAGGGAGAGUUUACGGCAUAAUGAACCUGAUUAGAAGAUCAAAGUUUUGCUACGAUAAUUCGUGGACUAUUACUUAUAACUCACGAUAAAUUAAUUCGUAGAUCUCUACAGACAUUUAAAGUCAUUCCUCACUUGAUUCCAUUCACUCAGGUGACUUUACAGUAUUCUUCCUCUUAAAGCACCAAAGCACGAAAACUCUGGAUGAAGGAUGAUGUCCGUUCAAUGCAAGAGCUACGCGCAUUUGUGAGCAUGACCGCUCUACAAUCUGUUGGUGAAACAGUUUCGUGUAGUCCCCCAAGUUCCGGGAGGCUCAACAAGCCCUGCCCCUUAUGAUGCAAAUGAAUGGUUUGACUGCAUAAAAUCCAAGGGAAGCGACGAACUUCCACCCAAAAAAGGCUACCCAUCUUCGUAUAACAAUGCUCAUUUGUGGCGUAAAUUAAUGAUCAACACGAAGUAAAGUAGUUUUUGCGUCGAUAUUCUUUGCUAUUAUGAGCAAGCACAACAGCGGGUUUUUCUUGCCUUUAAUUUUUUAUCGUCUGUUAUUUAAAUUCCCAACUAAGGUGCUCGGCUUUUUACCUUCGUGCUCGGGCCGCCACGAAGGUACAGUGUCUGGUAUGGUUACGCCUUAACUGGGCCUUUCUCGAACUCGUCGCCACGCCGCGUUUUGUGUUGUGGAACUAGACCUCUUCGCAGAUGAGCAGGGAAGCGUUGUGUAUGGCGCAGCGUAUGGAAAGGGGGUUGGUGGCUUUAUCCAAUCUAAGAUCUCGCUUGCCAUCUUCCCUCGGCGACACUUUAUCCUUUAUGUUUCAUUUCAAGGUGAUCGUAAUUUCGCUACCGAUGUAAAACGUCGCGAGUAGGCAGCGUCCUCUUAUCAGAGCAUGUCGACGAACCAACAUUUUUACAUUACUUGUUCCCAUAGGAGAAAGGCGCCUUCCAGAAAGGCGGUUACCUCGGGUUAGCGAUAUUAGAUUUUCGUAGUUUAGUAUCUUGUCCGCAUCACACAGGCAAGUACCGAACGGCUACCUCUCUUAUUUAUUUCUACGGACGAAUGGCAGACCAGCCUAUCAGCCCGUGCUGAGAGCAUAGGUGGGUGACAAGUACAGUGGACAGCAAACACAGGGCGUCCGAUACGGGUUGGUGUGCCCGUAUCCACAUUUGCUAUUUAUUUAUUCUCCAUACGUUUACUCGAAACGCUCAGCAGAUCAUGCGGAUGCUCUUGAAAUCGUAAUGCGCGCAGUAGCGGGUCUCCUUGUUGAGGCCGAUGGAGGAUCCGUCGCAGUGGGAGCCCGUGUACAGCCUUGCCUUCUGGUCCUCGGUGAAGACGAAGUGGUACCCUCCCUGGUAACCGGUGAGGCGGAAACACCCGCAGCCGUUGACGUCCUUGGUUCUCCCGGCGCACCCAGGUCCCGAGAAGGCCGUCAGCGUGCUGCCAGAUACAGGCGCAACGACCGCAGCUGCGAUAAGCAAGACGAGAACGGCAGCUGCCGCGGCUGUCGGGGUCCUGCCGGUGGUUGCCAUAGCGUGGGAAGGGUCGAUGGAGAACCGUAGGUUUCGGGUAUGUGGGUGCAGUUCGGGUUGUGAGCUUCUCGCAGUCCCCUCUGUCCAAUUUAUAGGAAGAUGAUGGCGGAAAACCGCCAGCUGGGAUCACAAAACUACGAUCUGUUGGCUCAGAUCGGAAUUCUUUGAUGCCGUCAUCAGGAUGCGCAAAUGUCAACUGUUAUCAUCCGUUAUAUAUUUAACUUUCAUUUCGCCCAGUGUUCUCUAUCGGUCCUAUUUGGCGGUUCGUCGACCAGCUGGCCUGUCGAAAUUUGCGUCCCAAUUCCGGGGGAUAGGGGUGAUUGAAAGUCUCACGCGCGACAGAUCGGAAGAGAAUUACGUGUUGGUAACCACCCUUGGAAAAAUUCUCAUGCAGUCGCCCCCUUGACGAGUUCAGCUCCCCGGUCAGCUUUGAUAUACGUCAUUCCUUCCCGUGUUUAUCCUCGUAAGGGCGACUAUAGGCUCUAUGAAAGUCCUAUUUACACGCAAAGUCCGGUAUUUAUCCUGUCAGAAUGCAAAAUGAAGGUCAACGUCUUAAAAUGAACUGUUUUCUCUAAUGUAACGUCACGUUAAAAUAAUCAACUCACGACCACCUGGAAAAUGCGUAACUUUCAUGUAGGAUGCAGAUCGCGAAUUAUUCAUUUCGUCUGCAAGCGUACUUUUCCCUAGUUCACGAAAUCGGUUCAAUGCAAUGUUCGUCGUAUCCUCGCGCCGAGGAACAACGUCUGCUCGUUGUUCAACUAUCCAGCAUUUCAUCCUCAAUAUUGAUGAUGAUCUUCUAGGAAUCUUGCCCACUGACAUCCAAAGAAGCGAAAUAUCUCAACAUUACGUGUAGAUGGUUAUAGUAUCAGCUGAAUCGGUCGUGCUCAAGGAUAAUGAAGAACAAUAGACGGCUUUCACGGGAAAAACAACCAGCGAAUAGCAUUGUAUGGCGUAGGUGUCACGGACAAAAGGGUAGACGAGGAUAACAUCUGCCGCUCGUGUUCAAUAUCCUGUCUGUACUCGCUGGGUCAAGAUCAGAAGGGUUGGUAUGUGGCACCCAGCGCUUGUCAUUUCACAGAAGAUAACGCUGAGGGGUGAAGAAACGAAAUCUCGAGGUUCUUCGAUUGUGACCUGCUUUAAAGAAGUUAGGAGGUUAGGAGGAAGUCAAUAGCUCUCACUUCUUAUAAGUUUCUACGCUGUCUGACAAAACACGAUUUAUUUGUCAUAGUAGUUUCCAUAACUGUUGGUUUUUAGGCGAUCCCGGUGAGAAAACACGUUCAAAGAUAACAGCUGGCUAUCCAAAACAACAUAGCCUGACAGAGUAGCCCUCAAUCGACAUAGGUAAAAGAGUACAACAGUACCGCACGACUUUUAGCUUUUUACCUAGAAAGCCUUUUAUUUCGUAAACUUAUUAGACGCCGUGUUAUAAAAAAUAAUCAGAAAUUUCUGCAAUUCAUUUUUAUAAGUAAUUCAUUAAUCCGUUUCGUAUUUUGUUCAACAGAUUUCACAAAUGCAGUUAACGACCCAUGUCAUUGGCUGUAAUGGUCGGUAUUUACAGAACUGCAUGCUGCUUUAUGAACGAUAAGAGUAUGCAAAUUCGAAUCCUCUCUUUUUCUCGUUAUCAAUUAGAAGAAUUUGAAACUAAUACAAUACGUCUUUUAUGAGUUGAGAUAUCUUUUUAUAGGAUACACUAGUGUGGGAUGACAUUAAAGUGCAUUAUCUAUAUACAAAGUAUAUCUAUUUAUUCUAGUCUACUAAGAUUUCAAUAUUGUUAAAAUAAAACUGUAAUACUUGUAUAAAUAAAGGAUUCAGUAACAAAAAUUUAUCCUACUCCACAAAUAGAAUAUGAUCAUUAUGUAGAUAUGCUGAAUGAUGAUUCCAUAUUUAUAACCAUAUCUAGGUGAUUGAAAAAUUGAAAUAAUUUUCUACAAUAUUUUCAUUGAUACUCGAAAUAUAAUGCAUGGUAAAAUGAUCAUUCUGAAUUCAAUUGAUUAAUUUGAUAAUAAUUUUUAUAAAACUAAUGUUAUAAGAUCAUAACUACAUAAUGGAUUGAGAAGCUUUAAUACUCAUUUUAUGCUGAAUAAACUCUUACUAAUUUAAAUGUUAAAUCAUCAUUUUAGUACUAUGACAAUUUGUGUAAAUAUUGAUACUUUCUGCAGAAAUUUACAAAAUAAUGUCCACAUAAGAAAAUCAAUAAAGAAUAAAUAUAACAUAGUGGGUCGUGAAUAUACUCAGUGAACUCAUAUUUGAAAAUAUGAAAUUAUUAUUUUUAAUUAUCUUUAGACAAUGUUUUAUUUACUCAUAUAUGAAAUAUAUUGAACAUUGUAUGCUACAAUUCGAGUCAGCUUGAAUCAAGUUUUCUCAAAUUUUUCAACCCAAUGUUCUGUUCUAGAGUGAUAGGUUUUCAAAGUGUACAUUCUUCACUAGACUCACAUACUGUCACCAAGUCUUAAUUAUCUAUGAUUUUCUUUUUUUUAAAGCUUAAUACUCAUAUAUGAGUACAUAGGUUAGUUAAAAAAAUCAUGUCUUCAAAAGCGGAUUCAAUUUUGGGUUCUAAAGGUUGUUUCUCAGUUCCAUGUGUUGUAAAACAGAAGAAUAUAUAAUAUUGUGCAGUGUUGAUAUUUUUGGAGCCUUCCUACCCAAAAUAAUUUACACAAUGAGAGUUCAUGAAUUAUUGGAAGUGUAGUUUAUUUUUGCAUUUUUUAUGAUUCACAUGCAAAGUCUAUAACAUGAUUUACUUAGUCUAGGCUCACAUAAAUCUGCAUGGUUAAAUUUCGUUGUGCUCUAUUUAAAAACUUACAAAUAAGAAAUUAAUCAACUAAGAACAUUGUAUGUUUUAAAAAUAUGAUUGUACUCUAUUUAAAAACAUUGUAUGUUUAGAUUAUAAACUCCAUCUCUUGUGAGUAAAAUCAUCCAAAUGUGUUGAGUUAUCAAAGAAAUAUUUAUCAUAAGGAAACAAAAGAUGAGGGUGAAUUGGUUUUUUUUAAUUAAUGUUGAUCAUAUGCAAUUUCUUACAAUUAAUCACCUAAAUAUUAUAUGAUUUGACUAUCUUGGCAUACACUCUCUAAAGAGAAGGUUGACGUGACUUAAUCAUUGUAUAACAAAUCAUGUAAAUUUAUAAAUUUAUAAAACUAGAAAAGACCACUUUUUAGAAUUUCAAAUGUAUAUCAAAAUGAAUAAAUUAUUUAUAAAAUGAUAAAAUAUUUCAAAAAUAGUGAGAAAUUUUCAAGUCGAUCAUAAGGAUGUAAUAUAAUAUUGGGUAAUAUUUUAGAAUUUUCUUAAAUAAAUAUAAAUUUUUAUGAGUUUUUAACUGAAUGAUAAAUAUAAUAUAUUUAAUAAAUGUGAAAAGGAAAUAAGGCUAUGAUGAUAGGGUGAUGUCAGCACCUGAAGAACAUGAAUCAGGUGGAAAUAGAUGAUUACCAUCGAAUUAAUAGGUUAAAUUAAGUUAUGUAAAAGGCUAAAGAAUCAUAACUUAAUAAAGAAGGAUAUUGAAGCUUGAAAUCAUGCCAAAUAUUAUUAAUUUAAAUGAAAAUGAAGUUAAAAGUAAGAAAAAUAGAGUUCCGACUUUGUAGCGGCGAUCAUUGGAAUUCUGUGUGUUCGGAAAGAAAUUCGUGUAAUGUCUAUGGCCUCGAAGGCUCUCUUGGACAAAGACGAUGUGGGCAAUAUGUAGAUCUUUUUUCGAAGCAUAAAAAUUGGUGGAAUGUGUCGCCAAAUCAUUUCCAGUGGUUGUCACUUGGUAGAAUGGAAAAAUGACAACUUGUGGGCCCUCGACAAUUGUCAUCUGACGAAAGUAGGCUGGAUGAAGAUAGGGCACGUCUCAGGGGUUUCAUCCUCAAGUUAGCGAAACAAAAGGAGGCCCUUUAUCACAUCUAGUACGGUCUUAGGAGGUGACGACUCAUCUCCUGAGGGAUCAUCCUCUUCCUAAUAACAUCUUAUUUGUCGAUCAAUCGGAGAUGAUUUUUUCGUUGAGUUUGUGAUGUUUUAUUCAGAAUUGUUCACCAAUUUUAGCCACGAUGCUCCCCCAAUCACCUUGACUAAAUUAUUGCUUAAAUUUUGACGAUUUUUGCAGCUUAAUUGUUCACCGAAAAUCACAAUUUCUUCACCGAUUGCCUACCUACGAGAGAGAGAAAGAGAGAGAGAUGUAAUAAGUACGAUAAUACCCUUACAAUGUGACGUCAUAAGGAUAUUUUUAUAAUGGUCAUGAAGGAGUAUUUUAGGCAUUUAUAAUCCUACAGGGAAAGGUUAGAGUAGGUUUAGUCCCACGUCGGUUUUCUAACCAAUUUUCACAUAAAUAUAAACUGGUGGCUUCUUUAGCCAUGAAUAGGUACAUCUCAUCUACGUGUGUACGACCACUCUUUGCCCCAUGCCCGAAUGGCCACCGGUGAUGUGGAAGGGGAGUCACACAUGUCAGCUGCUUGAGCACCGAGCUCACAGUUCACGUCUUUAGUUGCUUCAGCCUCGAGCUCACAAUCCUUAGUUGCUUUGCUCGAUUGGGCCUCCGACCCGCUUUUAGGUCUGGCUAGCCUGUGAUAUUCUUAUUUUUUCCCUUAAUCUUUUUUUCAUUUAUCUCAACAAAGUAAGAUUAUAAAAAUCAUGUAAUUAAUCAAAAAUUCAUAUUAACCGACUAGACAUCACUUUUCACAAUUAAACACAAAAAUAAGUCUAUUUAUCAUGAGUUAAAGCUAAAACUAUUAUAUCACUAGAUUAUUAACUCAUGAUAAUUAAGACUUAUCAUAGGUCCAUAAGGUAUUGAUGAAAUAUAGACCAAUCACAAAGGCUUCUACUAGAAUUAUUAGGUAUCAUGGUUCUAACCCACUUGAGUAUUUCUUGAAAAGACUAUCUAGAUUCCCAACACUAUAAAGCCAACUUGAUAGGCAUCUAGUUAAUAUCUUCUAGAUUUAGAAUGCUAUAUCAGCACAAUACAUUCAACUCAAGAAAAUCAUUAGUUUAAAUGUUUUUUAUUUUAAAAAAUUGGUCAAAAAAUUAAUUCUGAUUUUUUUAGUUAAAUAUGUUAAAAUAUAUUGAUAUCUAAAACAAUAUCUAAACCUUUAUAUCAGGUUUUGAUUAGUUUAACAUAUUCUCAUGGUUGGAAUGAAGAAGCAAAUGUCAUAUGUGCAUAAACCAAAAAAUACUCCAACCUAAUUGAUCAACUAUGAUGCCUUAUAUUUAGUUCAGAGUGAGAAAAGAGAAAAAAUUGAAAGUAGAAUCUAAUUUAACAAUUGGUAAGUUGUUUUAAUGACAUGAAUAACACAUGGAAGUAAAAAAUUACAAGAAUAUGAUAUAAAGUCAAAAUCAACAUCACAUGUGGCAAAGUUGACUAAGUGACAUGUGGUUGUUAGGAUUUAGGCCAAGUUAAAGUCAAGAAGGGGAGGUUGAAUUGAUAAAACCUCUUUCUUUUUUAGAUAAUUUUCUUUGAGACUUCUUUUCAUGACCUUUAUUGGGUUAAACUUGAUAGGUGUUACUAUGGACUCAUCAUUUUUAUAUUAGUUCGGCACCAACCUAUGUCCACUUUCUAAGAGCACAACUUAUUCUUGAGUUUCAAUAAUCAGAAUCACAUCUAUUAAUUCUAAGGAAUCAUCUCUUAAAAGAUUUAACUUAGAACCUUUUUUCUAGAUUCAUGACUCAAGGUAGGCCAAACAACUAUUUAAUAGGACAACUUUUACAAGUGAUUAACAAAGAAAAUGAUCGUAGUUUUAACCCAUAAUAAAUAUAAAUAAUAUCACAUUGGUUGGUUCUGGAAGAUAAACUUCGAAUACUCUAGACUUUAGUAGAAGAGGAUGAGGAUGAUCUUUUAUUUAUCUUCUUGUUAUUAGUUUUCUAUUUGUAUGAUUGGAGGCUUCAAUAUUUGAAUAACUCAACAAGAAACUUCAAUACAUUGUAAAUACUUCUUGAGGAUGUGCCUUUUUGAUCAAUGUAUGACUAGUUAGUCUUCCUUUUCAUCUUCUUGAAUAUGUUGUGUGAAAAACAUUAGAAUAAAGGUAGAAAAAAAUACUUGAAAGAGUAAAGAUGAUCAUUGGUCACUAUCUUUCCAUUAGAGAUUAGUCAUAAUCAUAGGUAAAUCUUUUAUAAGUGUCUCAUAGAUUUUCAAAGAACUUCAAAAAUUAUAUUUACUUAAAAUAUAAUUUAAUUCAAAACUUGUGUGAAUCUAAUAUAUGUCAUUUUGAUAUUUUAGAUGUCCUUUAAAAAAACCAACAUGUGAAUCCUUUAAUAUUUAACAUCUGUAUCUGAGAAAAUCAAUUUACUUAAAAUUGAUAAGGAUUUGACAAAGUUCAUAGUAGCUCUAAGAGGACAUGCCUUAUAGAACCAAUAAUUUCUCAUUCAAAUCUCAUAUCAAUUCAGUCAAGCAAAUAUGAGAUGUAAGUUUGUUUCAUAAGCUAUGAUCUCAAUAUUUAAAUUAUAACUUUUAUGUUGAGAGUAUUAGAUAAAAUUUUUAACAUAUAUUCAAUAAUAAUAAAAAUUGGAUGAAAUUAACACUUAAUUAACAAUUCAGCUAAUUUGAUGUUAAAAAUAUUUUUUCGUUAUAACAAAAAAUCAUGAGAUUGUAGGUAACUAAGUAAGCUUUCAGAUCCAUUUUUUAUUUCAUUAAAACUCAUUAAUUUAUGUGUUCAAAUCAUUGCUUCUCUAGUUGUCAAGAUUUCUAAGAAUGGUAAUAGUUUGCACAAUAACAUUCUAAAUGAUGAAUUCUCAAUGAAACUAUAUUAAUCCAUAUUAUGUGGCUUUCAUACAUUAGUUUCUCAUUUGUAUGCCCAUGAUCUUGACUUAUAUAUUUUCUAUAUAUGCUCUAACUUAUUAUAUCAUGAAUUGUAAUCAGUGUAUGUAUGUGACAUGUACAUCUAUAUUCGUGUGUGUGUGUAUGUCUCAUUGAAGCAUAAUUCAUUUGAUUGAUUAUAUUCUUAGUUGAUCUUUUAAGUAUUUUUCAUUAUCAAAUUAUGUUGCUUUCAUAGCUCCAUAUGACCUUGUCUAAUGCCAUAUUAUAUUUCAAAGUAUUCAACAUGAGAUAUGGCAAGUUGAUUAAAUAGAAAAUGGCAUGGAAAAUGAAAGAAAAUCCAGUGAUAUGUGGCAAGCUGAUGAGACAAAAAAUGGUAGGUAAAAAAGAAAAAAUCAAGAGACAAGUGAGAAAAGAUAAAUUUGGGAUAUCACAUGGAAACAUGCAAUGAGAAAUUGUAAUAUAGAUCACUUCACAUAUAAUUCUUGAGAUAAAAAUCUAUGGCAUGGAUUGACAUGUGUAGGCUUAUCCGAUGAGGAAAAAUAAUCCUUACAAGUUAGAAGAUGAGGACAAAUAAGAAGAUUGCAAGUUAAAAUUGAAAAUAUCACAACAUUUCAGGCUUGUUUGACCUGCACAAAAGUUGGUCAAGCUAUCAAUCUAAACCAUUUCCUCUACACUACCUUGGUAAUGUGUCUACCCAUGAGUUAACACAAGGAACUUUUAACUGAUCAGUCCAUUUAACUCUAAUAGUUGACAUUUCAGUUCUAUAAACUGUUUAUCAAAUCAUUGUGAGAAAGUUUUGGAACAACUUUAGAAAAAAAUUUCAUUGACAAAAUCAUUGUGAGAAAAUUUUGGAACUUCAAUUUAGAAAAAAAUUUCAUCGACAAAAUCAUUGUGAGAAAAUUUUGUUCUGGUCUCCUAUGUGCUCAAUCUUCUUUGGUUUAACUCAUCUUCAUCAGUAAUGAAAUUAUUUAAAUUUCAAUAUCAUGUGAUCUCUACAAGUGGUUAAAACUGAUUGUCAUCUAUGAAAAUUAUUAGGAAAGGUUGUAAUGUGGGUAUAUAGGUAAGUUACUAUAUAAGCAUCUAAGAUGAGGUAUAGUCCUAUGAAUAGCAUAUGCAGAAAAAGAUUUUGGCUUUAGAAAAUUUAGUUCUAAUUCAUUGAAGGAGAAUAUUAGAAACUAGGAGCAGUAAUCCUUGAAAAGUAGACUUAAGCCAAGGAAAAGCUGAUGUACUAUAAAUUAUGGUGCCUGAGUCUUUUUAGAAGUUAGCUAUCAACUCAAUAACAGAGUGUGUAUACCUACAUCAUUUAGGUGUCAAUCUAUUACACCAAUCCACAAUAUUAUAUGUUUGAAAUUGACUUAAAAAAUGAAAAAACAUUUGUGAAAGACAUACCACCUUAGAAACUAAUUCACCCCCUUGUUGUUGUACUUACUAACCUAUUAGAGAGCCAACAGUAUGAAAAACCAAUACACUUACAAACACAGCACAUAGCUUGUGGCAUCAAUAGUUUAUCUAGAGAUAUGAAAGUGGCUUUUGAUAAGGAAAUGUUGAAAUCAGAUGAGAUAAAGUUAGCUGCAUUACUUACCUAGAAAGCACACUUUACAUGCUUACUUAUUUUAAUUUUUGUUGAAAUUUUCAAUACACUAGAAAACUAAUCUCCUAAUGGAUACAACAUGAUCUAACUUCAUGUUUCAUAUUGUGCUGUGCUUAACCGCUCUUAGUCAACUCAGGUGAUGACUCCUUUCUUAUCAAAAAGAUGACACCUAAUAUUAUAAGAAGAAAGGUCUUAAAAUUACAGAAUAAAUGUUAUAUAUAGAUCAGGUUUUCAAGGGUGACACAGAUGCUCAAAUUCUUUCAAAAAAUAAAAUGGCCAUUUAACUUCAACAUCUUUUAAUCUUAUGCCGUGAUUUAAAUUUAAUAACAUAUUUCUAAUAUUCUCAAAUUAACAAAUUUACCCGCUGUUGAUGUUGUCCCCAUCAAAACGAUGACAUCUCUCAAAAAAAUCAAAACUCAUAGAAUAUACGGAAAAUGAAGGGAUAGCACUGAAAUAGCUCCCAAAGUUAGUAAUCGUGAGUUAAAUAUUUUCACAGAAAUUAAAUAUGUCAUUUAUAUGAGUUAAAACUUGCAGAUUUAAUUCUUUAUUUAUGGAUCCAUUUUGAAAAAAUCCGCAUCUGUCGGAGCACAAGAUGUUAUUAUGUUAUUAAGUAUAUGUCGAAAGUAUUUUGUGUUUUCGGAGGCAUAUGUGAAAUAAAACGCUCAAGGUAGAACCUCUCUGGGUGAUGGGUGCGGGCUGCCCUCCUGUCGCCGCCGCCGCCGCUGCCGCCGCCGAUGCGACCGUUUUCCCAUUCUGGGUCUUCUGCUCCGCGUCAAGACACCCUCAGGUUCCUCCCCCCCGCGCCGCACCCGCCCAUUCGCUGCCCUGAUCGUCAGCGCCCUGCGAGCCCGGCGGAGCGAUCCCCCGAAGUGGGAGGAAAGUCUCGAAGAGAUCACGUCAGUUACGGAGGAUAGAGAUGACGACGGGGUCGCCGCCGGCGAAGAGGCUGUGGCGACCGCCCUCCUCUCGUGAUUUGCUGGCUCCAUGACCCCGACUUGGCGGUCGACUCCUUCGGCUGGGUCCGCCGUCUGCGCGACGGCGGGUCUGUCUUCCUACGCCGCCCUUCUCAAAGUCCUCGCCCAAUGCCGCCGAUUUCCCGACCCCGACGCUGUGCUGGAGAUCGUGGCGGAAGAAGCGUGGGCGCCCUCUCUCGAAGCUCUCGGCGCCAUCGUCGCCGGAUAUUCCGACGCCGGCAAGGAAGAGAAAGCCCUGCGGUUCUACUCCAUGGCGAAGGAGUCUCAUAAUGGUCUCCCCGAGACGGACGCUUGCAACCGCCUUCUCCGCAUGCUCGUGCGGCGCCGCCGCUACGAGACUGCCUUGGAAGGUGUACGACGAAAUGCUCCAAAGACAUGGCGCCGCGGAGAAGCCCGCAGCUUGUUCAGAGAGACGCAAUCCAAGGGGUUCCUGCCCACCUGGUAUCAUAUGGAACGAUGAUCGCAGGGCUCUGCAUGCAAGAGGAGCGACUUUGCCGAGAUCAGAGCUCUGCUUCUGGACAUGAGGGAGCGGGGAAUGGAGCCCAAUGUGGAGAUUUACAACGUGCUCAUCCACACUUGCUGUAAGCGUGGUUCAGUGCGAGGCGCAAAAGCCGUCCAAAAACCAUCCUGAAGCAGAUGAUUCCCUUCAGCCACCCACCCUACAUCGUUACCUAUAAUUCCAUAAUCUGGGGCCUAUUCAGCGCCGGCAGGGCCGGCGAGCCAGUGCGGAUACUGAGGCAGGCAGAAAGAUGGGGGAGUCAUGCCGACCAUCUUUAGCCAUGCUCCCCUCAGUCACAUGCAGCAGAGCAUGGCGUAGGUGUGAGUGACAACGCCACGGCUGUUGCCUCUCGGGAACAAUGCCACGGGUCAAGGCGUAAUUCUGCCCUGUUCUCGCCCUCGGCGGCGCGCCAUGGAACGUCUCUUCUCUUCCUCGGAGUACAGGGGGAGGUGGAGGAAGGCCCCGCAAGUCAUGUGAUCUAUUUCAUCAAGAAAUAAAGAACGAGUCAACCCCUUUAAAGUACUUAAUAAUAUGGACUUCUCUGAAGGACUCUUUAAUGAGCUCCGUUUAUCUGCCGAUCCGACGCCCGAUCUGUCAGUCCACCGCGGACCGUCGCGCGGAUGCCCGCUCAACCUCCUGCUAGCGGUGCUCAGCCGCUCCGCGAGCCGGCAGCCGAAGAGGGUCAGGAGGGUCAGAAGCAAGCUCGGAUGCCUGCCGUUUCGACGGCGUUGACGAUAUUACAGAAGCGACGCCCGAGGCGCUUGGAAUAUGACAUGCCUUGAAUCAGCCAGAGGGUUAGGAUGAAGUCAAUGGCCGUUUAAUACGGGUUGUUGCGCCGGCGUCGGCAGCUGCUUCCUCUUUACUCCUCAUAAGUCUCUGUACCCUUCUUGGCAGACACCGACGUAGAAGAUCUUCCAUGCUAGGCUUCUCACAAAGAGAAACCAUAUUAACAUCAAAAUUAAACUACACUACGAACUUACUCGCACUUGAAAGCGUACCCUAAAUAGAAGGGCACAAGCGGAUUUGGGGACUGGAAGGUAAUAAUGAACGACUUUUGCAUGAGCAGCGUGCCAAACAUUCAAAUUCCUCCGGGGGGCUCCGUAUCUUCUGGGUAAUGGGAGCGGAGGAAGAGGUCAGCGAGAAUAAGAUGCAGUGACCAGUUCGCCAAACGUCAAAUGAGACUAACGAGUCCGCUACUAUUCACGUCCACCCCUGAAGGCGAAAUCCGUCGAUAUUUGCGAGGACGCGCGUACUAUAAAUACCACGGAUAGGGCCCGGGGGACCAGCAGCUCAUCACCGCUCGACAAGCAACCCACCCCUCCCCCUCCCCUGACGGCCCCAAUCCUCAGUUAUCGAGUCCGGCCGAGGCCCCGUGAAGGAUAUGGCCGCCGGCAGCAAUACCCCUAUCGCCGCGGCAGUUUCCGUUCUCCUGUUGCUUAUCGCAGUCGCCGCCGUUGCCCCAGCGUCAGCCGGGACCGUAAUACUUUACCGUGAUGGGGGCUGCAGGGUACCCGUGUCUAGGCGCUGCGGUGUGUGCUACAAACUCGUCCCCCGCUACAUCGGAGGCUACUCCUUCAGUCCCUAUGGACGCUCCGUCCCCAGGUUCUAUUACGGGUACAACUGCCGAGGCCCCUACGUCACCAUCCCUCGGCCCUUACGCCGUUGCUUUCCCCCGUACCCAUAUCAAAGCGUCCUCAUACCAUGCUAGCCGUGAGCUCUCUACUGAGCUGGCUUCCAGUUAGCGCUCUGAUCGUGUACUAACAGGCCCCAAUGAAUAAAGGAGCACGGCAGCCUUCUAGUGCUGAAUGAUCGUGACUUGCUGCUAACGCGGCGUCCAAAGCGUUGUCAUCUUCGGUACAAGAAAUCACUCUUUCUUCUUGGACUCUAAGGGCUGUUCCGAGCAAUCCCCUCCAAGCAGUCUUUCCCGUCUCAAGCAUGCACACACACGUGGAGAACUAUUCUUGUGAUUUGUCUGGGCAUUCAUAUCCACUCGAUCUUUCUGGUGACCGCAUUUACCGCCAUUAAGUUCGCCAAGCGGACCUGUUGACUGAUUUUAAUCCAGACAAUAAAUGGGUUCGUCAAUCCAAGUGGCACGAGGAAGGAUAUUUACAUCUAAGCCAAACUAAAAACUUUAACAAUGCAAACAAACAUUGAAGGAUAUAUGAUCAACGUAUUGAAAUAGACCAAGUAAAAUCUGAAAGCAAUCUAUCGUACUUUCCACUGAAUCAAAGAAAAAAAAUAUGUAGGCCCUUUUAGUUCUCUAGCUAAACGAUUAGCUUCUGUGACUAACGAUCCUAGUUUUCAUUUUACUUCCCUUGUAGAGAUUCCUCAAGAACAUUGUAAUUUGAAAUCAGAAAUUUUACAAUGAUGUCAAGAAUACCAUAUUCAAGAAAUAAAUAAGUUAUAAUCCUGGAUAAAAACAACGGCGAUACAUUAUAGCACAGAUAUAUUUAGGAUAUUGUACGAGUUUUAAUUUAAAUUUGUGAAAUAAUAAUUGCCACGAUGGUGGUUACUGGUGAUAGACUAAUUGCAGCUGCAAAGGCAAUCACAAUGCCCAUCUCGCUGCCGUUCGAUUCUUCACCGGUUUUGCGAGAAAGAGAGAGUGAGAGAGAGGAAGAGCAUUUAUAUAACGCUAAUCUGCUUCGAGAAAGACAUAAUUUAAUAUUAAAUAAUAAGAUCAGUGCAUUUGAUGAACGAGAUAAUAUAAGAAUAAAUAAUAAGAGCGUUAUUUAGUUCGGGUGCUUUAUUUUCGGAUCAUCAUAGGACCGAGAAACAGGUUUGGUGUUCGGUAAUGGCUUUAACGAGACCCGUUAAGCUUUGGAUCCAUUACGUCCUAAAUAUCAGACCCAAUAAUCAAAUAGUUUCGCCUGAAAUUCAGGCCCAGUAAUCAAAACAAUUUAAACUUGAAUUUGGGCCCAGAAAUAAAUCAAUCUAAACUUGAAUUGAGGCCCAAUAAAAAAGUAAACUUCAGCUUACAUUCAGGCACGUUAUUUACAUCACUUACACUUCUUUUCAACUAAAAUAAAAGAAGAAAAUGAAAAAACUAUUUCACACAGAUAUUCAAUCUGAAACAUUCAAAUCUAGAUACCCAAAUUUUUAUAUCAUUGUAAAAAGUUAACUAUAAGCCUUUAUGAUUUUCAUAUGAAUACAUUUUUCGAGUCAAUAAUUAAACAAAAUGGCUUAAGCAGCCUCAUAAGUUUUGGUUAUCAUUAUAAGACCUAAAGCAUUUAAACCAUUAAUCUUUCUCUUCAAUCACAAUGUUGUACCUUUAGAUGAGGAAUGUUUUGAUGUUGACCAACAAAAUACAAUGUCCAUUAAGUAAAUUGAACUAUGCUUUUAUUGAAAACUUCCAUCAUAUGAGAACAAAUAUAAAGAUAUUCAUAUUGAAUUAGAUAUAGAACUACUGAAUCAUUGGAUAAUGAUUUAUUGAAAUACAACUGAAAAUUAAUGUUGAAUCUCUAUAAGUAACUAUUCUCAUCAUAAAGAGAUUAUUAAAUUACAUCAUGUCGUAUAAUGUGCUAAUGUUUAAAUAAUAUGUCUCUAUGAUAAAGUAAUGAUUAGCACAUGAAAAUCAAUAAAUCUCUCCAAAGCAAAAUACGGAUAUGAUAACUUACCAAGUUUAUUGUCUGUUUAUGAUAGUAAGUCAUUACUUGAGGAUGUUUUCAAUAUCAAAAUGAUCAAUUCAAUUGAAAAUGCCUAUUAAGUACAAUAUGAUUUCUUGAACAUUAAUUCAUAUACUUUAAAAAUUCAUUUCAAAUGUUUUUGAUUAUCAGAAAAUGUCAUUAUCUAUAUAGAAAUCAUGACUCUGGAUAUUUUCUUGAGAGCCAUACACAUUGAUCAGAUUAAAUUAAGCUUAAUUGUUAAAUUCAUUGUGUGAAUAAUUUAUGUGUCAUCAGUUCUACAUAUAGUUUAUUAGAUCUUUAUUGAGCCAUUUUGAACCAUCCCAAAACAAAUUAAGAGCUACUGAAGUUGGACAAAAUUUUCUUUACUCUAACAUUAACCAUCACACCUCUUGGGAGUCCUUCAAACAUCCUAUCUACUAAACUAAACUUCAUCAACUCAUAACUACCUCAUGUUGAGAAAUUGAGAAUGAUCAAAACUGUAGCAAUUUCCAUUAUUCUUGAAAAUCUCAAUUUCAACCUCAAUCUUUGUAGGAAGCUAUCAGUGAUAGCUUCUAUUUUUUUUUGUGAGUUAAAUAUGAUGUUAAAGUUUCAUGUGUCACUGAACUAUGAUGCUAAAUAUAAUGUUAAUCUUAUGGUGGAAUAUAUGAAAAAUUUAAUGUGGGUAUAUAGGCAAGCUAAUGCAUUGAUGUGUAGCAUGGGGUGAUAGUUCCAUAAAAACUAUUAUUAUCUAAAAGGGGAUUGUUGACUUUUUAAAGUUCAAUGGUCAUUCCCUAUGGAAGAAUACUAGAAACUAAAAAGUAGGCUAAUUCUAGGGAAAAGUUGAAGCACUACAGAUUGUGAUGUCCUAGUCUACUUAGAAGUUAGUGUGUUAUCACACAUAAAUUUUGUGUCAAUCCACUAUGUUGACCAACAAUAUUAUGUUUUGACCAAAAUCAUAAAUUGUGUUGACACACUAACCAAAAAUCACAUAAAAAACUUAUUAACACCUUAGAAAGAUAAAAUAUGUUUAAAGACAAGUUCACCUCUCUUGCUAUACUUAUAGUCUACUAGAUACUCAACAAUAAGAACAAUGAAUACACAUAUGCUUAGCACAUAGUCUGUGGCAUGAAUUAUUCAGCAUAGAGAUAUGAACGUAGAUUUUCAUGAGAAAUGUUUCAAUCACAUGAGGUGGUGUUAGUUUCAUUGCGUAAAUAGUUUUUUAGCUUAAGAUUUGGGGAGAGCAUCCUUUAUAUGCUGACUGAUUUUUCUUUAUCUUUUGAGAUUUUCAAUAUUGUUGAAAACUAGUCUCCUAAUGUGUACACCAUGCUCCAACAACUAACUUUCUCUUUCAGUCAUUCUACUUCAGUUUUCAUAUUGUGCUAUUCUUAGCCACUCUUUCUUUCUCUUUUAAAUCAACUCAGGUGUAGGCUUCUUUCUCAUUAGAGAGAUGAUGCAUAAUUGUGUAAGAAAAAAAAAUCUAAAAUUUUGAAAUGAAUUGUAUACAAAUCAUGUUAGAGAAUGUACAAUAUGAUUAGGUUUUAAAUAAUAAAAUGGCCAUUUAACCCUUAAAUAAAAUUUCCUCAAUCAAAAUGUUAUGAAUUAUGAAUUAUAUUUCAUGAGUAAGAUAUUUCUAAUAUUUUGAAAUUACAACGUUAAUCAUCCACUCAUAUUAUCACCGUCAAAACCAUUUAAAGAUCUCAAAGACUAUUGAUGAGAUCCUAGAGUCAGAACUCGUUAGUCAAAUAUUUUCAUUAAAAUUUAGUAUGCAUCUCUCAAUCUACAUCUCUUCUUCUAGGUUAACAGUGAUUUUAUCACAUGAUUAGUUAUUAUUAUACUAUCACAAGGGGAGACAAUCAGAACUGCUCCAUACUUUUUAAGGAGGCUGUCUGAAACAAAACUCCAUACUUUUUUUUAUCGGCGUGUGAUGCGGUUCAAGGGCUGCAGGCAUCGGUGAAAACGCGAAAGGCCCCAGCUUUCGACAGAGGAGAAGGUCGCCUCCAGUGGCGCCGUCGGUUCCCUUCGGCACCCCGCGGCUCGCGGGUGGUGAGGGGGGCGGGGAGGGCGUCGCCUCCUUGCCGAGGUAGAAACCGCUCUGGGUGAUGGAUGCGGCUUCCCCUUCUGCCGCCGCCACCGCCGCCGCCGUCGCCGCUGCGACCGUUUCCCCCUCAUGUCAAAGGCCUUGCGCCUUCUGUCCGACGUGAAGACGCGCCCUCGUUCCUCUCCCCCGCGCCGCAUCUGCCGACUCGCCGACCUGUUCGUCAAGGCUCUGGGAGCCCAGAGGAGCAAUCCUCGGUGGGAGGAGACCCUCGAAGGGAUCGCUUCAAGGGCGGAGGAUGAAGAGGACGGCGAGGAAUCUGCCGGAGAAGGGGCGGUGGCGGCCGCCGCUCCCCUUGUCAUCCACUGGCUCCAUGACCCAGACUUGGCCGUCGCCUUCUUCGGCUGGGUCCGCCGUCGGGGCGGUUGCGCGCCGGCGGCUACGGGUCCAUCUUCCUACGCCGCCCUUCUCAAAGUCCUUGCCCAAUGCCGCCGAUUUCCCGACCUCGAGGCUGUGCUGGAGAUCAUGGCGGAAGAAGGGUCGACGCCCUCUCUCGAAGCACUCGGCGCCAUCGUCGCCGGAUAUUCCGACGCCGGCCUGGAAGAGAAAGCCCUGCGGUUCUACUCCACAGCGAAGGAGCUUCAUGAUGCCCUCCCGGAGACGGACGCCUGCAACCGCCUUCUCCGCAUGCUCGUGCGGCGCCGCUACUAUGAGACUGCCCGGAAGGUGUACGACGAAAUGCUCCAAAGAUAUGGCGCCGCGGAUAACUUCUCCACUGGUAUAAUUGUGAAGGGCCUGUGCGAGCAAGGGAGGGCGGAGGAAGCCUUGCAGCUGAUCGAGGGUAUGUGGGGCACCGGCUGCGUCCCCAAUGUCGUCUUCUACAACAAACUGAUGGACGGCUUCUGUAAGAAGGGAGAUGUCGAUAAAGCCCGCAGCUUGUUCAGAGAGAUGCAAUCCAAGGGGUUCCUGCCCACCUUGGUAUCAUAUGGAACGAUGAUCGCCGGGCUCUGCAAGAGGGGCGACUUUGCGGAGAUCAGAGCUCUGCUUCUGGACCUGACUGAGCGGGGAAUGGAGCCCAAUGUGGAGAUCUACAACAUGCUCAUUGAUGCUUACUGUAAGCGUGGUUCGGUGCGAGGAGCGAAAGCCGUCCUCAAGCAGAUGAUUGCCAUCGACUGCCCCCCUGAUGCUGUAACGUAUAACUCCAUUAUCUGGGGUUUGUGCGGCAGUGGGAGGACUGGCGAAGCAGAGCGAAUACUGAGGGUGGCAGAAAGAAGGGGGGUCACUCCAACCAUCUUUAGCUACACGCCACUCAUUCAUAGGUACAGUCUCCAGGGAGAGGUCCUCUCGGCCUCCAACCUACUCCUGGAAAUGAUGGAAAAGGGGCAUCCUCCAGACCGGGUUGCCUGUGGCGCACUCAUCCACGGACUCAUUAAAUCGGGAGAGAUCCAGGCGGCAUUGUCGAUCAGGGGGAAGAUGAUGGAGCGAGGUGUGGCGCCUGAUGCAGCGAUCUUCAAUAACCUGAUCAGCGGGCUCUGCAAGAAGGGGAUGGUCCCCGCAGCUAGGGACCUGCUGGUGGAGAUGCUGAACCUGAACAUCCUCCCAGAUGAAUUCAUCUAUGCCACACUCCUUGAUGGGUUCAUCAGGAAUGGUGACCUCACUGAGGCGAGGAGGCUGUUCUGCUUCUUGGGUGAGAAGGGCAUUCCCCAUGGCGUUGUUGUCUACAAUGCAAUGAUUAAAGGGUAUUGCAAGUUUGGAUUGAUGAACGAGGCGAUUUCUUGCACCGAUGAGAUGAAGAACAAAGGGAUGCGCCCAGAUGGAUUUACCUAUACGACGCUCAUUGAUGGCUAUGUGAAGCAGCAUGAUAUGAAUGCAGCUCUGAGAGUCUUUACCAACAUGAAGAGGCAGAGAUGCAGACCCAAUGUAGUCACCUACUCGGCCCUGAUCAAUGGGUUCUGCCAGGCAGGAAAUUUUGAGAAGGCCCAGCAGUUUAUCAAGGGCAUGCAAUCGGUCGGUCUGGUCCCAAAUGUCGUGACACACAGCAUCCUCAUUGGCAAUGCAUGCAAAGCCGGUGAGCUUGAAAGAGCUGCUGUUUUCUUCAGGGAAAUGUUGCUUGGCAGGUGCUAUCCUAAUGACGUCACCUUCCAUUACCUUCUCAAUGGGCUUGUCCAUGGCAUUCCUCACCUUUGUGCAAUGGGUGAUGAUGGACUUCAUGGGUAUGAGGGCUCCUUGCUGUUGGAGAUCUUCAGAAGCAUGAUUGCAGAUGAUUGGGAUCCCUGGCUGGCUGCUUAUAAUUCCAUCAUUUUGUUUCUCUGCGAGAAUCGGAUGCUCAAGUCUGCACUGGAGCUGAGGGAUAAGAUGCAGGUCAAGGGCUAUGUGAUGGAUGCUGUCACAUUUCUCUUCCUUCUUCACGGUUUUUGUGUGGAAGGGAGAUCCACGGAAUGGGGUGGUGUUCUUGCUUGUAAUUUUCAGCAGCAGGAGCUGGAGAGUUCCCUGAAAUACACUCUGUUGCUCGACAGGCACACCAAUCAUGGAAUCAGGUCUGAGGCCUCGGUGAUUUUCUCAUCCCUGCUCGAAGAUCUCAAGUCUGAGAAAGGGUUGAAUUAUGGGUAAAUGCUCAUACUUAUUGUUUUGAAGAAGUGUUGGAAUUUGUUGAGCUUGCACACUCAGAAGAGCGUGGUGCACUCCAUGGGACUUUGUCUCCCAGGAUUCCAUUCAGUCCUCUAUUGGAUCCUGAGGACUGGAAUACAAGCUGAUUUCACAGGCUCUUACAGGACGGGGCAUUUCCCAGCUUUGAUCCCACACGCUUAGAUCUGCCAGGGAAUGCUACCUGUAAGUUCUUGGACAACUUUCGUGGUAUUGCAUACCCUAAUCUUUGUCAAUUGUGGGUCUAACCACGUAAUUUCUGAUGCUAUUUGCAUACACCUUGUGAUUAUGUUCCCUUCUGUGGGUUAAUAGGAAGGAAGUCACUGUUAUUGAGAUAUCACAGUAAAAAGUGGCAUGAACCAUAGAAGAUAUUGACGGAAAGAUGAUUCAAUUUGUCAUUUGCAAUUCUUGUUGAAGGAGGAUCUCUUCAAUCUCACUCAAUAGUUGUUUCAGUGGCUGCCAUCAAUCAGUAGGAAAGUGCCUCUUCAUCUGCUAUCGUGAAAGUGCCAUCUGUAGCAGCUGUCGAUUUAUAUUCAAUCUUCCAGAAUGGAUUCAAACUUUUUUGUGAUAGAACACCGGGUUUACCACCAUAGCUCUAUGAAUGAUACCUUUCCUUUGUUGAUAAGCAAAUGUGUUAGAGUACACAUCACUAAGUGGAGCUGAAAAUGCAGGCAAGGAAGCCCAUCAUUUUAUAGUCUUUCUUAUCAUCCCUUUGAAGCCUAAAAACAGAAAAGAGGGCCAUUUUGGACGUCCUUGAAAAUCUGCAUUUUUCUCUUGGCAAUGCUUUUAUACAUACUUCAGUUGUAUUUUUAUAUUUUCUAGAAUGUACGGGCUUCUCUAUUUGUCUUUCAGCCUAGAGCAAGAAGAUGAUAAGGUGACACCAUGGCCUUUUGACUUGUCAGCAUUGUUUGCACGAAUAGGCAACUGAGAUCUCUUCUUCACGUCUUUGCCUCACCGUGAAGAGCAUUCCAGAAUCCAGUUAUGCUACACAUUUGUGGCCAUAAAAGCUAUUAUUUUGAUUAAAAAUCCUAAUUAAAUUCAUCCGCCGUUAUACACUCGCAAAGCAUUCAUAUUUCCUCAUUUUAAAUAUUUUAUUCAUAACGUCCCUAAAAUUUUAUUUUUAAUUAUUUUAUUUUGAAUCUUUGAAGCUUUUUCUGUCGCUUAGAUUUAGAUAUCCUUCCGCCCUCAUGUGUUCUGUCGUCUUUUUCCAAUAUUCUUCACAUGUGGUAACAUAGUAAAACCGGGACGUCUAUAAUGGUUAAAUAAGGAAAUAGCACAAGAAGGGGUCUAUCUUUCUGCACGGUGAGCUUGCGCCCCACUUUAAUCGAAUAGUAACGAACAUAAAACCCUGUCAAGGAAAUAGAAAAAGUACCUUUCGCCGUGACAGCUCAGUAAUGAUUUAUAUUUUCGUUAAAUCUCUACGGAUUGGUGCAAGGUACUUUCUUCUCCAUUCUCUUUAAUGGUCUCUCUUAAUUGUACAUUGAAUUCGUCAUGAAGGCUAACAGGAUGGCGCGUUGUCCAUUUGACUACUCUCAGCGGUUGUCCAUUUGUGCGGCUCAGAUUAGUGAUAGUCAAUAUGAACUGGCAGAUAAGGAUGAAGGAAACUCCUUGAUGGACUCUGACCAGUACGGAGAGCUCCACUGAGUUGCCUCGGAGUGAUGCCCCAGCUUGCGACUCGAAUCGUCGCUAUGCCCGCAAUUGCUUCAUGAGAAAAUCUCCCUGUAUUCGUUUGUUUCUCAUCUUUUGCGGAUCUUGAGCCCCCUCCCCGCCUCAUCAACCUCUCGAGAAGACUGUCUGAAUGAACCCUCUCCGUCUUUCUCAUAUUCUUCCCCGCUCUCCUAAUUCCGUAUACAUAACGAUGAAAAGGCGCGGUUCUACAAUACCAACAUAAGUUCAAUUCUAGUGUGUUGUAAGGGGCCAUGCGGCAAAAGCCUUACUGCGCUGGUAGAAGCUGUACUUCAACUUUGGCAAGAAAUUCUCUCUACUAUCCUUGUUUUGUCCGCGAGUAGAAGCUGUACUUUAACUGAUAGCUCUUAACUUGUAGCCGCGUCCUCGGAAGAAAGUCUGAUUUCUUGUACCGAAGAUGCCAAAGCUUUCGAUGCCGCGUUCACACCUUGUGAUCUCGUGAGGACAGAAAGUACGUUUAUUCAGCACUACAAGGUUGCCGUGCUCCUCUAUUCCGUUGGAUUUAUUCGUGCUGGCGUGUUAGUACACGAUCAGUAGACACCUCACGGCUAACAUACCAAGCGGAUGCUUUGACAUGGGUAGGGGGGGAAGCAACGGCGGGGUUCCACGGGGAGUGUGAUACAGGUGGCUUGGAAGUUGAAAUUCCGGUACAACUUGGCGACCUGCCCCCCUGAGGGCCUGAAGAAGUAGCCUCUGAAGUACAGGCCGAGGUUGUAGCACACACCACAUAGCCCACGUACGGGUAGCCUGCAGCCCGAUCCCCGGUGCAAGGUUAGAGUGCCGGCUGACGCCGGGGCAAGGGCGGCGACUGCGAUGAGCACCAGGAGAACGGAAGUUGCCGCGGCUACCGGGGUCUUGCCGGCGGUGGCCAUAUCCUUCACGGGGACACGGCCAGACUGGCACCUCGUAGCCACCUUGGUAACCAUGCCAACAAGAACCUCGGGAAAUGUACAAACUAUUUCCCUUUCUUCCACUUGGUCCAUUACACUUCAUGGCCAACUCAGCCCAUAAAUGAGUCGUGAGAAUCAGUCUUUUGGCUUACCAUUUCUCCCUCGCAUCCAUUUCUCCUCUCCCCAUGAAAUGCUUGCAUUUAAUGUGGCAGCCUGAAAAGGCAAGCCACACUAAACAACAUCAUAACAUUUUCUCAUUGCAGAUUUUCAGUUUCGGCUGCAGAUAUCUUCAAUUCUGUUUUGAAAUUUAAUGUGUAUGGUGAAUGACAUGUAAAUAUAAGAUCAUGUAAUAAUAAAUCUCAAUUGUAUCUUUAUUUCUCCUCCAACAUGGCCUUCAGUAGUAGAAUAUCCCAAAAGAAUGCAAGAACCAAAGUUAGCAUUAAAUUUAGUUGUCUCACAAUUCUAUCCAAAACUAUAGAUGUGGUAAUUAGAAAUGUUGAGAUCAGAACACAUACCUGUUUACAUACCACUAACAGAAUCUUGAGUUGUAAUGCAGUGAAAGUUUGCUAUCUUAUAAAAUAAUGUUGUCUUUGCCUACUUGUCUUAAAAUCAGUUUCAAAUUUACAUAAAAUGUAUUUUUAAAGUUAUGUUCCAUGAAAUAAACCAAACAUUCAUUAAAAAUUUAUCAAUGAAAACAUUUAUCACCACGAAAGAAUAUGAUUGGAGAAGCAAUAUAGACAUGAAUGUGUAAGUUCUAAACAUUAGGUGAAACAUUAAGAAGGGGAUGAAUUGAAUUUCUAUGGAUUUUAACAAAUUUUCGUUUUCCAUUAUUCUCUUAUUUAGAUUAUGAUAGACUAUUUCAUAAAACCUUUUCUCUCCAAGGGCAUGAAAAUUUUUAACAUGAUUCACCUUUGACUUGGCUACUUUAUGUUUUGGAAGAGACUUCAAAUUGGAUUAUCACUAGUUCUUUUAAAAAAUCCAUGGAGACAUUCAUAGGCUCAGCUAUUCAACAUACAAGCUUGUCUACUUAGGGACUCUGUCUAAUGAGGAUUGAAACCAACUACUAGUAUCUCAUGUCUUUGCCAAAAAGUAUCUUUUCUCAUCACUUAGUUACUUUUGGGCCUAAUGAGCUGUAUCUUUCUGAAACAAAUGUUUAGACCACCAAAAUCAGACAUAGAUAGAUGUAAAACAUCCAGUUUUGUCAAUGUAGCUUGCAACAUGAAGAGUUUGAAAGAGAUUGCAUGAAUGAUCGUCAUAAUUUUUUUUAACCCCAACUUUUCCUUUAAGUCUUGGCCCUCAUCUUGUGUUGGUUUCUAACUUUGAAAGGGUCCCCUUCUAUUUAGGAAACUCAUUCAAAAUCUUUCUAUUUCUGAAGGGUGAGGUGGGAACCUUUGACCUCUCCAAAUCUCAUAUCUUCUCAUAUUUUUUUUUUGAAAAUUUGAACAAUAACUUCCUUUUUGAUGAAAAUAAUUUUCUCCUUAAUAUUGCAUCAAGAUGGCCUCAUUUUCACUAAGAUUUACUACAUGUAAUCUAACACAUCAUUGCAUGGACUUUGAGAUUUGCAUGAUAUUGACCUUUGACUUUUCCUUGAUUUGAUACCUUCUUUCCCUUGUCUAUUCAAUUUGAAAUUUCUGAUUAAGGCUUCCUCUUUGAAUGAAAAUAACUUUUUUCCACUGUCAGUUUCAAAAAAUCUCUCUUAUUUUCAGACUUUGAGUUCAAACCAAUUUUGUGGCUUUCAUAUUUCGAACCUUUUUGAUUCUGUCCAGAAUGAAAAAUAAGAUCAUUCUUUUAUAUAUUUAGAGAGCUGAAUUUUAUUGUUAGAUCAAAUAUAUAGAAAGUUAUGAAAUGAUAUUUGUGAGUUACCCUUACCCAUUUACCAUAUAGAUACCUUUUUGUUCAAAGGAUAGAUCUUCAAUGAGUAUUAUUUGUUAUUCAUUUAUUCCUAUCAUUAAAAUUCUCUUGAUCUCAAGGAUAAGUACUUUGGAUUUAGUCACCAGUCAAGAUAUUACAUGGUCAACAAAUAUUAGUCAUAUGAAAUCAUCUUAAAAUUUCUUAACAUUUAAUAUAAACUUGACACAUAUAACAUUCAAUAAAUAUUCAAAACAUCUACUUUUGAUUGUAAAACUAAGGGUAUCAAUGUAAUUUCUAUAUUACAAGGCAUGUGUUGGGUAUUUGUCUUUGGAUUUAAAUACUCAGAAUCCCAUAAUAUUUAGAACUGAAACUUUAAGAAUAAUUAGUAAAACAAUGGGUCAAACACAAGGAGUAGAAAUAAUCUGUCAUAAGUAUGAAUCUUGAUUUUACUUUUUUAAUGAAUCUUGAUCUUUAAUAAUUUUAAUAAUAAAAAUAAAUAUUUUCAGAUUUUGUAACAAAUAGUGAAAGAAGAGGAAGAUAGGUGUAGGAUUUGGUAUGGAUUAGAGGAAAGAAUUUUGGGGGACAAAUGUUAGAUUUUGAAGGGACUUUUGGAAAACGUUUUGGGUGAUAUAAAUGAGAUUUAGAAGGGAUUUUAGAUGAAUUUUAGGUGGAAAUAGGAGAGAGAAAAUAAGAAAAAAGAAGAUAAUUAGGAGAGAGAAUCAUGGUCAAUGCAUCUCAUGUUGCAUUGACCAUGAUUUUUAGAUGAAUAUGAGAAAGAUAGUUCACAAAAAAAGGUGGAAAUCAUGCCAGAAAAUGUCUAAACCAGUUUCACAUCGAUUUCUAAGGAAUAAAUAGUUAAAAUGAAACUAGAAAAUUACCAAAUCGUGGAAUACAUAGAGAAAAAUCGUCAAAAAAUUAUUCCACUCGUCUGAAAAAAUGGUAAGAAUUUUCAACUAGAUUUCUCAAUGAAAAUUGAAGGAAAAUGAUUUGAAAUCACUCCUAAGACGAUUCAUGACGAGUUAUGGAGGGUCUAAGAUAGAAAUGAACCUUUUUUGAUUGAAUGCCUGAAAAUUAUCAUUUGUGACAAAAACUAAAUAAAGCAUGAAAUAAAUUUAGAACUACAUUUUCCUUUGGUUGGUUUGCCUCAAGAACAACAAAAGACAUAGUGUGAUAGUUUUAUAUCAUUCAGUCAUGUUGUACCACACUAGGUGGAAGAAUAUUGUCUAAUGGCUUUGUGGUACUCACUAGAAGGAUUAUGUGGUGAGAAGAGUUGAUGCUACAUCACCGCCACGUAGGGGGAGAAGAGAAGACUUGUUGACAAUCACUAGAAGCUCUAAGUGCUGUUGAAGGAGUUAUGAGGAGGGUUCAUUAGUCGCCGGAGGGUUUGACUAUGUGGAGAGGGAGAGGACUAAAUACUCACCAACAGACCUCCACAACUUUUAUUUUAUCUAUGAUAAUCAAUAAUCUAGAACUUAUGUUCAUUGGUUGCAUGGCAUGUUCUCUGCCAUUCAAUCAACUCAUCAUCCAUUCUCAGAUCAAUCACUUAUGCCUUGGUUGUUGUAAGAUCAUGCACACUUUGGUUGUUGUAAGAUCAUUUUGUUGUGAAUCAUUAAAUUUGAUAUAUAAAUUGUUUAUUCGAGAUAUCAAACUGCCACCAAUCUACUGCUCAGAUAGGGGUGACAUGACAUAUUUUGGGGCAUCAGAUCUGGUGAAUGUGGUGUUCCAAUAGUUAGAAUUACAACCUGCAAAAUAGAGAAAAAACCUUAGUCCCACAUUGGUUAGUUCUACAUAAUUCUAACAAAAAUAGUAGGGAUCUGUUUAAAAGUUGAACAUUCAUUCCUUGACAGGUCCUGGACUUGAUUACUUGGUUUGAGGGUUUAACCUAGAAUGAGACCUGGGUGGCCCAAUGGGCCUCGAACAUCUUACCUCUUGGCCCAAAAAAAUGACUUCUCUCACAAGCAUACAGAUUUGGUAGAGCUCAGUCCAGUCCACACUGUGUGGGUAGCACAAUCGUGUGCCCACUAGGCCCACAUCGGAUGCAGUGGGGCCAUUGGCCUGCAUUGGGCCUACUAAGUGCAAACUGCCCUUAAAUAAUUUAUUAUUAUUAUUAUUAUUAUUUAUUUAAAAAAUAGUAUGUAAUAUAUUUUAAUAUUAAAUAUAUCAUAAAAAUUAAUGAACUUAAAAAAUAUGAAAACACAACUUAUUUUCAUAAAAUUCAUGUAACAUUUUACCAAUUGAACUCAUUGCAUCUAAAAUAUGAGAUAUUAUCAAUAUCUUUGCAUCAAAUAAUAGAAGUAACAUAUAAGAUAAGUGCUUGAUUUUUUUGGUCAACUUUAGUCUCUAAACUGUGAAUAUGAAAGAUAAAUUUACUAAAUAGUAAAUACAUUUAUAUGCUUGAAAGUACUUGUACCACCAAGUAUGCAUAAGCUACAUUAUUGCUUUUCAAGUAUAGGCUUUUUUUGAGAAACUUUAACUUCAAAGUUUUUUGUCUUUAUCUUCUAUACCACUGAAUUAAAGAAUAUGAUCAUAUCUUUGCUAUGAUAUGUUGUGAAAGUAAGCGUUACAAAUGCCUCUAUUAGAUGCUAGAAUACAAUAUUUUUUAUGUUGUAUAACUUUUUUGAUUGUCAUUAACAUGGCUGUUUCGGUUAAAUAGUAAAAAAUAGUAAUGGAGAUAAAUUUAUUCAAAAGAUUAGCUCUUUAAAUAUCUUCUUUAACCAAAAAUGCAAUGAAAAAUUUUAGGAGUAGAGUGUAAAGUUCUUUGUUGAUAAAAUUUCAUUGAUUCGACUGAAAUAUUUGAGAGAGGUCCCAUGUACUGCCAUUUUCUAUGGAGAAAUGUCAGUCUUUCUCAGUUUUUCACGAUUUAAAAAAUGAAAAAUUACAAUAAAAAUAUGACAGUAUUAAUAGCUCUAUGUGAGUUGAUGUAAUAAAUGAAUGAAUGUUACGUAACCAAACCCACAAUGAGAUAGACUAGCUUCUAACGCUUCAAUAUAUUUUUGACAUUUUGCCUUAAGUCUGUCCUUCAGGGAUUCAUGGGUUCCUUUAUGGCCUAUUUUUUACUGUGCAACAAACCCUCUAGCGAUGCAUGGUCUGUCAGACUACGACUCUAUAGAUGGUUCACCUUUCUGGACUCUUACACAAUUUUACAAUAUUCACAUGAGCUGAGAUUUUUUCCAUACCAUUGUGGGAUCUUAAUUACAUCUACAUUUUUGUCAAGAUCUCCAACAACAGAGGUGAAAUGAGUUUGACAAGAACCAUCAUUACCUCGGUGACCUGGCUUCUACGCAUAGUUUCCAUGUUUUCUACCGGACUGGGAUGCGAGCUUUAUUGGUUUUGGGAGCGUUUUGGCGACGCCUUGCACUUAUUUCUUGUCCUCUCUACAGGCAAGCAGCCCAUCUAUCCAAGUUGUUUCGAAAGUUUGAUGCGUGUGCAGGAGAUAUGGUCAGUAUGUCGUCAAGCUGUUUUUACGUAUUUUUAUGUGUUCGCUGAUUUCUGCUUUUCUUCCCUUAAACAAGCCAGAAAUUCUUUGCACAAUGGCCCUUUGUAUUAGAUACACAAUGGACGUAUCUUUUGAAGACUUCGUGCCGGUAGAAGAGGGACCUGACGCUGUUUCACUGGGGAAUGGCCUGUUGUUGACCGACCCAGUUUUUGUUAGACAUACUGUGGACGAUACUUGGAUUACACUGGGUUAUAUGAAACCGUGUACAGUUUUCUGUACAAGUAUAUAUCAAUGCAUGCUUGGAAUUUUUCAUGGUUUAUAUCCAUACUAAAACCGGCGGCAGACGCAAUCAGACUUAGAUUGAGUACGCACUUGUACGGGAACACAGUUGCUUUUUGUGUUUCGACUAGAAGGUUUGUCCUUCAAGCACCGAUUUUAAUACUCGCUUAUUGUGCCCUUUAAAUGUCUGGAUUAUUAAUCCACCUUAUAUUCUGACACAUUCCACUUCAGGGUUAUAACGCGUCUAAAACACGGUGAUGGAUCACACUUCCUAUUGGAUCAAAUACAUGGAGCUAUUUGGAGGUACCACUUCUAGAAGAAACGUUCGAAUGACAUGGUAUGGCCCACAGAAAUGUUAGAAGGGGUAGAUUGAUAAGGCCUACUCGAAAUGAUAGUGAGAACCAUUUACAUAAAAUAAUAAUGUAUGGCAUUUUACGUUGAUAAAGCUGUUGUAGUAAAAGGCAAGUCCCGACUAUUAAUAUCGUGGUAACCUUGGCUUUUUGUAUCAACAAGAUGAUGGUAUUGGCCUAUCCCCUUUGGUACUACGGAAUGCAUGCUUACCGACAGCAGCCCCGAUCGCUAUUUUAUAAAGGAACCAAUAAUUAUCACUAAGCCUACCUAUGAUUCACCAAUUUUUUGUAGUUAGAUCAUUCCUACAAUAGGAAGUGUGAACGCAGGCCACGCUUCUAAGCCAGUGGAGAGAUAGCCUCCUGGAUAAAGGGCUGACCAACGGAGAAGACGAAGGGGUCAACGAAGCUAAUUUAGUUUAAACCGCGUUCUGGGCUUUCCUGACCGUUUCACACUCGAAACCAUAUGAGAUCAGCAAGGCUGUCAUAAACCUUCUCUUUUUGUGAAGUCCAACUGCGCAAACGGUGGAUGCUUGGCGUCAUUACUGAAUGAUAUUAGAGGAAUAUAAACGAAGGCAGUCUUAGGAGUCCCCCAGACAUCGUCAAAGUUGAGGCAUGAGGGGUUUUUUAUUACUUUACGCAGUGCGCUUUGGAUUCCACCCUGCAGCGUGAGGUCGAAGGGGGAUCAGAUGGGGCGCCACUAACAUCACCAGGCGUGGGGAACGUUGGUCACGCCCUCGAGCUAGUUUAGGAAUUACUCGGCAGAUAAUCUUUUGAUCAGUGAAAAUGAUGAAUAGUUCAAGAGAGGAUUUUUCGCAUUUCCAUAGAAUUGAAAAGGACGACAAGGUCAACAGUAAGUUCCACAUCUCGCUUCCAGCUCAUAGGAUGAUAAAAAUUAUGGUGUGAAUGCAAACUGAUAUGAGAAUGGUGGUACAACAGCUGUCAUUAUAGUAAGCUGCUGCGUCAUCAAAUGACAUUUUCAUUUCCAUGACAGACGAACCUUUGCAUGUUCCUUGGUUUGCAGGCGUAAGACAGUACGUCAAUACCGUCCUGAUGCCUAUUCAUACCUUGUUCGGUGGAUAAGGUUCUGACCGUGAAAUAAGAUGAAUGGGUCAACGGAAAGCAGUAAAUUGAGACUGGCACGUUUCAGAAACUCUCCGGACGAGUGGGUGUGUUGAUGGUGUAACCAUCCGCCACCCUCAACGGACAAGCGGGUGUACGUUCCGAAGUAUGAUUAAAGAAUCGGUACAACCCAAACAAAAUAACCUAUUAGAUAGACAAGGAAUUGAAAACACGCCCUUUACUCUUGAAAUUGAGAAUACUCCUAGAAUGGAACGGCGAAGAUCAGAUUAGUAGAGAUGCCAUUAGAAAAAGUAGAGCAGCUGAAACCAAUUAGAGACCUGCGUACGUUAAGUGCAAAGCCGGAAUUGUUUUGUAAUUGGGUUGACCCUUAAUGGAGCAGAUGACUGGCCCCCACUGGGUUACGCAGACAAACAAAGCUCAAGACUACUCUGAAAAUCGGUGGUUAAAUGUCUGACAUCCAUGCAUGCCAUCAACGCAAGCACAUCCUCUGCCGGGGCCAGAAAUUGUCAGUUCUAAGAGAACCGGUCAAAGAUAAGCCAAAUUUUCAUAGUCACCAAAAAAUAAAGCCACGAAUAACCAAAUAGAUGGAUCAUGUGACCAUCCUCAUUCCGGUUCCUCAGCGCACACAAUUUCCUCAUUCUAUAACUUGUAUUGGUUCUGCUUCGAAAUCUUGCGACGAGGACACAUCUACGAAAUUAAUAAACAUUCGCCAGAGAAUAGUUUAAACGGUGGGGAAAAGCUGUACUCCUAGUUUGUUCAGGAGACUAUUGGGCGAAACGCCAUCCUUCCACUGUAACUAUUUGAAGCUCGGUAGCGCAAAAUGGCGUGAGCAGAUUUCCGCACGCGGUGUCUAUCCAUUUGCUUUACUGGUUCAAUAUCUUGCCGAGUACAGCUAAAGGUACCGAUGGAGACGUUGUCAAACCACAAGACUGGGGAUCAGUUCCUGAAUCGAUUAAACUAUUGAAUACAAGCAUGAAGACCAGAUAAGAGAAAACUGACAGCUCCCCGUCCUCAGCACGUUUUAGAAGAUGUGCAUGGUUUUUCAAAACGCGUACGGGAACUGGCUUACCUGACGUAAUUUGUGGAGAGCCGUAUGGAACUAAACUUCCAAGAUCCUGUACCUUCAUACUCCUAUAAAUAGAGACAGAAGCAGAACUAGAAAGCCAUCCCCAAAUCGUUCUAGCUCUUGACAACUCUCACGAAGUCCCAAAGAAGGUAUGGCAAACACCAAGAGGACUGUCGCCACCCCAGCAGCCGCUGUUCUCAUCCUGCUCAUCGCAGCCGCCGUCGUUGAAUUGGCAUCGGCGAGCACUCUCACGGCCUUCUCCGGGCCUGCGUGCGCCGGCAAAACCAAGGACAUCAAUGGCUGUGGGUGCUUCGACAUCAGCGCAUACCACUCAGGCUUCCAUUUCGUAUUCACGGAAGGCCAAUCAGCAAGGCUCUACACAAAAUCUCACUGCAAGGGCACUCCCUAUCACCUGAAGAAGGAGACCCGCAAGUGCGGACCUAACCACUUCAAGAGCAUUCGUAUGAUCUGUUGAGCAUGCUCUUCUUCGCAACAAUGUCUGUACUGAAGAUUCCACAAUAAACGGCGGAUUCAGCUACUGCCUACUGGUGGGACCACUGAAUCAAAAGGACAGUAUAAUGUUGUACGUUGUGUGCUCUAUAUGUAUUGCUUUGCCUGUAACAAUAAACUUAGGUCUACCAUCUUGAAUCGUGACAUCUCACUCCUAUACAAACUUUCGUUCCAGUCCAUCAAAAUUUAAGAACAGGAUCAGCAAAUCUUCUGAGAGAUUUAUAGGUAAUAUCUCGUAUUCUGUUAUGGCGUGAAACCUGACUAAGGAUAUCCGUAUGGCUGGCUCACGUCACAUGUAUUUAGCGUGUGGAUGAAGAAUCUACAUCACGAUUCUUUCGGAAAACACACAAGAAACCCUCAAGAAGAUUGUGGAAAGAAGAAAAUCACACAUUCAUUCAAAAAACAAAGCACAAUCACAAAAAGCCCCCCUGAUCAUUCUCCGUAACAGGCCUUCUUAUAGGCAUAGGUCGAGCACAUUCCAUGUAACUACCUGUAGAGCAGUUACUCGCUGGUGGUUGCCAGCGGGGCUCCAUCCUGUCCAUUAUAACCCGAGACAAUCAACGGCCAGGAUUAAAAGAGGAGAGAGUGAGAGAGAAACCGAAAAUAAAACCGUAAAAAAAAAUUGCCUCUUCAUUGAGGUAUUUUUCAUCGAACAAUCGUCUUCAUUCCUUGAUCGUGCGUGCUUAACUCCAACAAGCUCCUCCUUAAGCUCGCACCUGAUCAGGUACAUCCUGGACUCCAAUUGUCUUGCAGAAUUUGCCAAAUUUCACCUGUUUGAGGGACUUUGUAAGAAUGUCUGCCCGUUGUUCUUCCGUCGGCACAUGAACAACCUCCACUUCUUUAUCUUCAACAUACUUACGUACAAAGUGAUACCGAAUCUUGAUAUGCUUAGACUGGCUGUGGAAGGCUGAAUUCUUUGCAAACUUAAUGGCUGACAUGUUGUCAACAUGAAUCUUGAUUGGUUUCAGGUUCAUACCAAUCAAUUUGCUGAGGAAAUCAGUUAGCCAAACUCUUUGGUAAGCUGCAAGCGUUAGAGAUACAUAUUGAUAAGUCUUUAUUAUCAUGAGUUAAUAAUUUAGUAAGAUGAUGUUUUUAGUCUUAACUCAUGAUAAAUAGACUUAUUUUUGUGUUAAAUCGUGAAAAGUGAUUUCUAGUUGAUUAAUAUGAAUUUUUGCUUAAUUACAUGAUUUUAUAAUUUUAUUUUGUUGAGAGAAAUGAAAAAAAAAUAUUUAAGAAAAAAAGUAAAAAAUUUAUCGGCCACCUGGGCCCACUAGCGGGUCGGAGGCCCAAUCAAGCAGAGCCGCUGAGCGGCUAAGGACCACGAGCUCAAGGCUCGAGCGGCUAAGGACCAAACCGUGAGCUCGAGGCUCAAGCGGCUGGCGAAGUAGACCGCGAGCUAAGUGCUCAAGUGGCUGACGUGUGCUACUCCCCUUCCACGUCACCGGUGGCCAGCCAGGCGUGGGGCAAGGAGUGUUCGUACACACGCGGGUGAUUUGUACCUAUUGAUGAAUAAAGAAGCGCCCUAAUAUAUGCACGUGAAACUCACCCAGAAAACCGAUGUGGGACUAAACCCCGCGCCUUACUUUUUCCCGCAUAUUUUAUAAAUGACAUAAAUGACCCUCAAUGACCUAUAUAAAAUGAUCCUUAUGAUGUCAUAGAUUGAGGGCAUUUUAGUACUUAUCUCAUCUCUCCCUCUUUUUCUCUCUCGUAGGUAGACAAUCGGCGAAGAAAUCGCGACCUCCGGAGAGCGAUUAAGCUACAGAAAUCAUCAAAAAUUCAGCAAAAACUUAGUCAAUGUGAUUUGUAGAGCAUCGUGGCCGAAAUUGGUGUAGGAUUUUAGACAAAACAUCACGAACUCAACGAAGAAAUCAUCUCCGCUUGAUCGACGGACAAGCCGUCGCUGGGAAGAGGACAAUCCACCGGGAGACGAGUCGUCACCUCCUGAGAGCGUACUAGAUGCGAUAAAGGGUCUCCUCUCGCUGCACUGACUUGAGGACGAAGCCCCUGAGAUGCGCCCCAUCUCCAUCCAGCACACCUCCGUCGAGUGACAGUCGCUGGAGGGCCGCAAGCCGCCAUUUUUCCAUUCCGCCGGGUGAUAGCCGUCAGAAACGAUUUGGCGAUCCAUUCCGCCGAUUUCUAGGCUUUGAAAGAAGUUCUAGAGAUCACCCACAUCGUCUUUGUCCAAGGAGAGCCUUUGAGGCCGUGGACAUUGCAUGAUUUCUUUUCUGAACACACAAAAUUCCGGCGAUUGCCGCCGCGAAGUCGGAACUCUGUUUUUCCUAUUUUAAACUUUAUUUUCACUUAAAUUAGUAAUCUUUGACAUGAUUUCAACAUCCAAAUUAUUUCGUACUUGAGUUAUGAUUCUUCGGACUUUUAUAGAACUAAAUUUGAUCUAUUAAUUUCACAAUAAUCGCUUAUGAAAAAAUCAUAGGUCAGAACUCUGUUUCCGCCUGAUUCGUGUUCUUUAGGCACUGACGUCACCUGACAUCAUUGUCUUAUUUACUUUUCGCAUUUAUUAAAUAGAUUAUAUUUAUCAUUCAGUUAAAAAAAUCAUAAAAAAAUUAUAUUCCUUCAGAAAAAUUCUGAAAUAUUACCCAAUAUUAUAUUACAUCCUUGUGAUCGACUAGAAAUUUCCCACUAUUUUUGAAAUCUUUUAUUGAUUUAUAAUUGAUUUAUUCACUCUGAUAAAUAUUUAAAAUUCCAAGAAUUGGUCCUUUCUAGUUUUAUAAAAAUUUUAAAUUUGCGUGAUUUAUUAUACAACGAUGAAUUCACAUCACAUACUCUACUCUACACAAAGAUAGGGCCACAAUCUUUUGUUUAUGCGACACCCAAGUAACCACAUUCUCUCAUAAGAAGAAAAGAAA